rnacentral:lncRNA from 1 species
CCCCCCCCCUUUCUAAUCAUCUCACUUACAUCACCCUUCAGAGAUCCCAAAUGAAACCAUAGAGCCACCCCAAUUUCCACCGCCUUCUACCCGGUGACGCCACCACCAAAUCGACCUAAAUCCAUACCAUAGAACCCCCUUCACUUCCUCUUCCCAAAUCCCUAACUCUUUUCCCUCGAAUUACCCCUGAACCGUUCGAAUCUUAAAUCGAAGAUUGAACCCUAAAAUCCCAAACCCCCCUAAAUCAAAAUUUCAUUAAAAUUUAAUGUCUAUUUUGAUUUUAUUCGUGUAUUCUUGAUAGGAACACACGACUAAUGUCAAAAUCGGCCGAAGAUUUGAAGAUUUGGAGACUCGUUUCAAAUCCCUACUGUCCAUGACUACUUCUUAGGUAUUUUUUUCUUAUUCUUAUGUUAUUUAAUUUUUAUUUUUAUAGUUCUCUUUUAAUCUUCUUCGGUUUCUUCCUUUUAUUUUCUGAUUUUGUGUUUUCCAUUUUUUCAUCUUUUCAAAUCAUCCAUGUUUGCAUGUUUAUUUGGAUUUGUUUAGUUAAUAUUUGUUUUCUGGUAUUGAUUUUUGUUUCUAUUUGGGCCCAAAUUUUACGAGUCUUUAAGACUCUGUAAAUGAGAAUUUGAGAGUUUUGAACUUUAAAGGUUAAUUGGGGCUUUGAGAAUCAGAAAGCCCAAAAGGAUUCAACCUGGGUUAUACAGACCCAUAACAAACAGAUUUGGGUCAAUUUGAGCCAUGUUCUGUUUAGCUUCAGGGGUAAUAACAGGGUGCUUAAGAGGUAAUUUGGGGAAUUAGGCUAUGGAAUAUAUCUUUUAACUGAAUAGGAAUCUGCCUAGAAGUUGCCUUUAGGACUAAUGUGAAAAUCUGAUUUUAAAAUUAAGGAUAUGUGAGCAAAAAUGAGAAUUCAAAAAGGUUUUAAGUGCAAAACUGAUUUCUUUAGGCUUCCCUAAAGACUUGCCUAUAAAGACAUCCUUUCUUCGUUAGCAAGUCAGAAUUUAGAGAUAAAAAUCCUGAAAAGAAAACUGAAACAUCUGACUAUGAAAGAACACUGAAUUCUCUGCUUUCCUUGGUUGAAAAUUCUCAAAAUUUGGCUUGGUUUCUGGAUUUCUAAUCUUCUUUAUUGUCUAGAACUUAUGAAAACUACAAAUUCCUAAUCUUGAAUAAAAAUGUUUUGAGUUUUGGGAUUUUAAAAGCUUGGUUUGAAGCUAGUUUGGUUUUGGGGUACUGUUUUAUUGCUAAAUUUGGGCUUUAUUUUGCUGCUGCUGGCUAUUGAUUCUUCGCUUCCUUUGUUUCUCUUUUAUUACCAGGCAUGCAUUGACUCUUGAGUAACUUAUGAAGUGCAAAUGUGAAGCCAUGUAAUCAAAAUUGAAGAGAAAUGACAAAUGCUAGCUUUCGGUUGUCAAAUAACUACUUGUUAUAUUCUAUCCAUUGUCCUUCAGCUUACCUUCACUAUGUAUAUUUUACUUAUGUUAUUAAUGUUAUGUUUCGUCUUAAGGCUUGCAUUUGGGGUUUGUUUGAAUGCUGUUUGGGUUUAAGAAUGUCUUUAGGCUUAGGAUGAUAUGUAUAAGUUGAGGAUUAUGACUCAUUUAGUAUGAUUUUCUUGAGUCUUGCUGAACUUUGGAGAUGUUUUUCAAUAGUCGUGUUUAUGUAUCCAUCAUAUUAGUUCUUUCAUUCGUUUCUCUUUAGCAAAUCUGGUAUUUCUGUUUUUCCAUCUAUUAGUUUCUUGUAUGUUAGAUUGUUCUUUCAUGAUCUGCAGAAUAGCUCAACUACUUCAGUUUUGGUACCCUGCCUUGCUUUACCCAUGUAUGAAUGACUUGAUUUCAUAAAGGUUUUCAAAUGGAUGUUGGGUUUAAUUUCAAACUUAAGAGUUCUCAGAUUAGCUUAAAUCUUUACAUCUUGUUGUUUUGAUUUUGUGGAAAUAAUUAAAAGUAUAUGAUUCUAUCCAAAUAUGUUAGCUUGAAUAGAUUUUAGAUUCACUUAUUUAACAGUCUCAUGAGGUGUAAUUUGUUAUUGAAUAUACUGAAAUGAGGAUUAAUCAAGUGUAGAAUCUCGCACAAUUGCUUUUGUUGAAUCAGCUAAAGGACUAAUUUGAAUAUGAUAGUCAGAUCUCCAGGCACCUUUGUGAGCUGCAGGGACUCAAUCUUGAGUCUUAUUUUGGCCUUGCAUCAUUUUUAAAAGAUUUGCUUUGCCUUGGGGUUUGGAUUUUGAAUCCAUGCUGAGACAAAAGGGAUGGGCUUGUAUUCAUAGCCUUUUUGGGCCUAUGAUUCGAGCCCGCUUGUUUUCACUUCAAAUCUUGAAACGGGUGUUCUGCACAAGUAAUUGGGCCUGUUUUAGAUUAGGCUCUCCCCUUAAUUUAAUGAUUGUUUAUUUUAAUGUCAGCCUCGUAGUUGAACAAUUUAUGAUUGAACCACUCACUUGCAGUAAUAAUUCAAAUUCCUUUAUUGUUUAACUAAUUAGAUUUCACCGAUUGUAUUGCAGGCGUGCCAUAUUAGGUGAAACAUAGUUUAUGGCCCUCAAAGUUUAGUUUGAGUUUUCCUUUAAAAUUGGAAUCGAGGUGUGCUGUGCCAAAUAAAAUCUCAAAAUGCAUGGCCCUCGCUUAAAUAAUAUUUAAAUUCUUCUUAAUAGAGGCGUGUCAUUUAGUUGAAUUUUUCAUGACUCUCGCUAAUGUGAAAGAGCGAAGUUGCUUUAGACGCGCUAUUUUUAAAAUUACUUCCCUAAAGUCAGUUGUGCAUUUUAUGUGAACAAAAUCCAAAUCUCAACAAUGUUAGAUAAAAUGUAUUGUGGACCGCGGGUGCAAUUCAUGUGGCAUGGUCCAAAGACGUAUUUUAGACAAUGUUGAACUUUUCUAAAAUAAUUAAAAGUGGCUAAUAAGUUUAGAAUAUACCAUAGGCUAAAACAUAUAUUUAAUUCAGAUAAUAAGAUAAUUACAUGGUUUAAGUGACCGUCCUAGAACCACGGAAUCCAGGGUGCCUAACAACUUCUCUCGGAUUAACAGAAUUCCUUAUUCAGAAUUUCUGGUUCGCAGACUUCAAAAGGAAAGUAAAUUUUUUCUCGAUUUAGAAUUUAAAAUAAACUAGUGACUUGUGACACCAAAAAACAAACAAUCCCAUGUGGCGAAUCUGAAUGAAAAUCAAAUAAUUAAUCUCAUUUCGAAUAAUGUCACUUAAAGCAGAAAACCUACUUUGUAUACCCCUCGGGUGGUGUAAAAAGGAGGUGUGAUAAUCAGUUUUUGAAUUUAUGGGAAAAAUGUUGGGAAACCUAUAACUUAACAUUGUAAUUGAGAUCUUUAUCAUUUAUUGGUGUUAUUAAAUUAAUUAUGGCUAAAUACUAGUGGAUUGGAUGUAGAAUCGAGAGGUAAAGAAGUAAUUGACUUUGAUUUUUGGAUGUGGAAUUAAGGUAGGUGUUGUGGCUAACCUUAGUUGAGGAAUUAGGUGUUGUUUCCUUAUUUGCUACGUGUUUAGUUAUUUGAGUACGACGUAUAGGUGAGGUGACGAGUAUCUAAGUUUUAUGGCUAUAAAACGCCAAAAAUUAAAUAACCGUCAUGGAGAGGCAAUGACUAUUGUUACAUAAGUUUUUUUUGAUGGGCCGUGUAAAGUCUCAGACAAUCCGGGCCUGGUGGCCUAGGCCCCUGACACUGCGUGGGCUAUAGCAUAGGAAAAUUUGAGAAUCGCGCGAAAAUACAAUUUUAUGGCCCUAAAAUGUCAAAAAAUGAGUAACAGUCAUGGUGCGGCAGUGACUAUAGUUCCUUAGGUUGUUUUUUACUGUGUCGGCAAAUAAUAAGCAAUCCAGGUUCUGUGGACUGGGUCCAUGCCACCAGCGUGGGCAAUGGAACACAAAAAAAUUUGGAAGGAAGAGGGAUUCAAGUUUUAUGUACCUAAAGCUCCAAAAUAUGAGUAACGUUCACGAUGUGGUGACUAUUGUUCUUGAGGUUGUUUUUUAUGGGAAGGCAAAAUUUUAGGUGAUUCGGGUCCGAUGGCCCAGGCCAUGCUAUCGGCUUGGGCUAUAGCAUAUAAAAUAUGGAAGUCAAGGAAUUUUAGAUAUAUGGCCCUAAAACGCUAAUCGAGUAACGGUCAUGGAGAAUCGGUGACUAUUAUUGCAUAGAUCGUUUUGAUUGGCUAAAAAUAAUAUGGGAUCCUUGUUCAGUGGCCCGAUCUCAUGCCACCGGUGUGGGCUAUAGCAUACAAAAAUUUGAGAAUCAGGUAGAAUUCCAAUUUUAUGGACGUAAACCACCAAGAAACGAGUAAAGGCCAUGGCUAGCGGUGACUAUUGUUUCUUUGGUCGUUUUUGUGGGCCAGCAAAAUGUUAGUCGUUCCGGCUCCAAUGGCUCUGGCCCAUGCCACCGGUAUGGGAUAUUGCACACGAAAAUAUGAAAAUCAAAUAAAAUUUAUAUUUUAUGGCCCUAAAAUGCUGAAAACCGAGUAACGGUCAUGGCGAGGCAUUGACUAUUGUUCCUUAGGUCAUUUUUUAUGGGCCAAAAUAUUUUUAGGCGAUCCGGAUCUGCUGUCCCAUUCCCAUGCCACCAAGUACGUUAUUGCACAUGAAAAUAUGGGAAUCAGGUGAAAUUUAUAUUUUAUUGCCAUAUGUCACACCUCUUUUUUUACACGGUUACCCCGAAGGAUGACAUGUAUAAGGGAGUUUUUCCAAUUAAAGUGACAUCAUUCGAAAUGAGAUUUAUUAUUUAUUUAUGAGUCGCCACUUCGGAUAGGUUUGGCUUUUGGUGUCCCAAGUCACCGGUUUAUUUUGAAUCCAAAUUGAGGAAAAUUUUUUGUCUGCCCAAUUGAGUCUACGAAUCAGAAAUUCUUAAGUAAGGAAUUCUAUUGACCCAAGGGAAGGUGUUAGUCACCCUCAGAUCCCGUAGUUCUAGCACGGUCGCUUAAACUAUUAUAAGUGGCUUAAAAAUUCUAUGUUUUGUACAUGCUCAUCCUAAGGUGCAAUUUUAAAAUUUUUAACCGCUUUAUUUGUUUUAGAGAUAUUUGCAAUGUUAUUAAAAUAUGUCUCGAACCACGUCACAUAAAUACACCGGGGCCCUCGACAUAUUUUGAUAUCGCUGAGACUUGGAUUUGGGUCACAUAAAUGCGCACCCGAAUUUAGGAAGAUAUUUUAUUAAUAAAUUCGCGCCUAUAGCAACUACGCGUUUAGAAAUUCGUGGAAGACUGUGAAAUUAGCUAAACAACACUUCCAAUUUUCUAUAUAUUUUAUUAAGUUAGGGAGCUUUGCAUGGUGUUUGAUUAAGUUAGCGUGACUCACUUUAUUUUAUAAAGGCACUCCUAAAGCAUACUAUCGUUUUCUAUUAUGCUUGUAUCUAAAAAUGUCCUAAUAUUUCAUACAUGAGGGAUGCAUUUAGAUAGAUUUAACACUUACAUUUCCAGCCUCAUUCAUGGCUGGUUAUGUAACUUGGGCUUCGUUUAAUAUUGGGUCAAGGAAAUGUAUAUUCUUUUAUGUCGCAAAUGAUAGUAGUUGGACCUUCCAAUAGGGCCCAGAACAUUGGACUUAAGUCCAUCAUAGAAAAUGAUAGUAACCCUUUGAUUGAUUAUAUCAGAGUCAUCAACAUUAUACAAUUGGUCAUUUUUGAAAAUACUCAAGACAUUUUUAUAUAGAAUUCUGAUAAGGAAUUUGUAUUAAGAAAAUAUAGCUCGGAUUUGAAUUGAGCAUCUAAUAGAUGGGAUUAAGAAACUCAUCAUUCAUAGUAUACAUAUAUACACCUAUCUAGUCUCUACUACAACACAAAUUGCGAACACUAAGUAAAUUGAGCUAAACUAUUGUUUUCAAGUCUACUGAAACUUUGACAAAUUAAAGUUAUAGUCCUGAUACAGUCGAGAAUUAUUACAUGUUCAUGUUCAUUACACUACCAGAAAUAAUACUGAAAAGUAAAUAACAGUCAUAAUAUGAAAUUGAUACAGAAAUAUUAUUGUCUUCAUUAUCAGCUACAAUCUCGAAUAUACAUAGCCAUUACUUCUCAGAUUUUGAGUGAGGAUGGAUACCUGGAAUUUCAUCAGAAAAAGUAGAACCUAUGAGUAAGGUUAAGAGAGUAGCAAAAAACACAUCAGCAACACAACCAGCAAAAACCCAGGAACUCAGGAAAUUUGAGAGGCAAAUAGUGAUAAUAGACUACAAUCUCGAUUGCACAUAGUUAUUACUUCUCAGAUUUUGAGUGAAGAUGGAUACCUGGAAUUUCAACAAAAAAUGGAACAUGUGAGUAAGGUUAAGAGAGUAGCAAGCAAACACAGUAGCCACACAAUCCGCAAAAACCCAGGAACUCAGGAAAUUUGAGAGGCAAAUAGUGACAAUAGAUCUUUAAAGAAGCUAAGAACUUGUAUUGAUUUUUAAGGAAAGUUCACUCAGAAGGAACCACUCGAAGAGAAUUUUCUGAAUAGUGUAUAAGAGUCCAAGGUGUAUCUUUAUAUAUUCUAACUCACUAAAAGCCUGAAGAAAAAUCCCUAAUCCUUUCAAAAAUCUACUCGAAAAAAUAUCCAAAAGCCCCCUUAAAUGAUCAGAUUGUCCUCUUUUUUAUAACUGAAACCUUAGGGCAACAUCAAGUUCUUUGUUUUCCUUUUAGUCCCUUAUCCAAUUUUCAGUUUUGCCUAAAUAGUCCUGGGUUUUCUGACUUGUGUCUCAAGUUUUGAGGCAGAAAUUAUAUUUAGACCCCUCACUAGAAUGUUGUAGGAGUUUGUUACAUCAUUCACUAUAUUCAAAUGCCUUUAAUACCCCAGUCCCUUUUCCCGGUUCUCAUCUAUUUGGUCAAAAAUUGACCCUAGUUAGUUGCUUCAGGUUAUAGACCAAACUCAAAGUCUGAAUUACAGACUAAAUUAUGCAAAACUAAACAAUAAAAGAGUUAAAAUUUAAUCAAUGCAACUCAUGGAUUCAAGCAAGUAUCUCAAUGUGGAUUUUACACUACUCAGCAACAAGGAUGAAACCAAUUAUCACAACUUUCAGAAUCAUAUGGAUACUCAUGGAAAAUUAGAUACCUAAUGGGUGGGCAUGCAUGUUUGAACCAAUUAUCACAACAUUCAGAAUCAUAUGGAUACUCAUAGAAAAUUAGAUACCUAAUGGGUGGGCAUGCCUGUUUUUACGUGACAAAACCAAUGAACCAAAACAAUUAGAAAAGAAACCCAAGCAACUAUACAGGAAUUAUAAGGAUGACCAAAUUACAACACUCAACAGAAAACUAAAGGCAAUUAAAGUAAUGGGUAACGGAGAUUAAACACUCAGGAUAUACAUAAAAAAUCCAAAAAAUUAAAACAAGACUGGUAUAAGAAGUUAAAACAUUCAGAAAGGAAAUAAAGAAACUUAGCGUAACAAAUACAAAUACAGAAGAUCAAGAAUAACUAGAAAAAGAACCAUGACAAGAAUAAGACUCUAAAAGGAGAUGCCUACUUAGAAUUUUCAAACAUGAUAUACUUAGACAAAAAUAAAAACAAAGAAGAACAACAAAGAUGAGAAUUUAACAACCACUCAGAAUUUUCCAGAGAUGAACGAAUGAAAAUUCAGGAUACAGGGACGAACAUGGGAAAAAACUACUCAGGAAGAUCUUGAAGGUGAAACAUAGAAGACAAAUGAACUCGAACCAGUAACACUAAAGAAAACUAAAAGAACAGAAGGCAAGGAUGACUACUCAGAGCAUUUGAAGAUGAGAAUGUAGAAAACAAGUAAAAUUAAAGAAAGCAAAGUAAUUAAAACAAGAAAUACAUACAGGAGCACAACAUUAAUAGCAAUUAGAGCGCAAGAAACUUAUCUUUCUUUUUUCAUUGCAACUCUAAAUUAGAACUCGUCCAGUUCCACGGUUCUCUGACCUCUUUUGAAAAGGUCUUUUAACUUCUAAGGCUUUCUCCUUAAGUAUUGAAGAGGGAAAAAAGGUUCGGAAACUUAGCUUUCUUUUGGCAUUGCAACCCUAAAUUGGAACUCCUCCAGUUCCACAGUUCUCUGACCUCUUUUGAAAGGUCUUUUAACUUCUAAAGCCUUCGCCUUAAGUAUUGAAGAGGGAAAAAGGGUUUAGGGGAAGUUCCAUAGAUUUUGAGACAAGGUGAGGUCUCAGAUUUGGUUUUCAAUCGUGCCCAGUUGUAUUUGAGGGUGAUGGGUGGCAGGGUUGUGGAUAGGAAUAGGAGACGAUCACCUAGGACAAAUUUCACAUGGUUUUGGUGAUUUUUAAGGUUUGGGAUUAAUUUCGAUUUGAUAUUUGAGACGCUCCGCUAGGAUUCGAAGGAUGUGGUUUAGAUGGUUGGAAAGAGAGAGGGAGGUGGUUCAGGGGGGUUAUUUUGGGUUGGAUUAGGGUUGGUGUCGCCGAAGACGGUGGUGCCGACAAACCUUCUGUCAAAUAUUCGAGGUGUUGUGGGGUUUUUUGAAGGAAACUAACGAUGGGAAGGGAAAGAGGUGGUCGAGGUGGUCUGUUGGUGUAAUUCUAAGGCCGUUUAGUGACAGGCUGCCGCCGUGGGUCGAUUUCCGGUGGCGGAGUUAGGGUGGUUGAGGGGUGGUAGACGGUGGUGAAGAAAUGGUGCCGGGGUGGUGAUAUAUCGACGUUAUAGGUACGAGGAAGAUGUAUAUUUUGAAUCUGAAUAUAAAAAGAUGUUUGAACAUAUAUAUGUAAUUUGGGGAGUGGCUUCAGGACCUUUUAUGGCUUAUGAUCUACGUCUAGGAUGAAUUACCCCAAAACGGUAUCGUUUUGGUGCGUCUCUUGUGGACUGGGUCGGAGACACAAGUUGGGCUGGGUCUUGGGCAUCUUUUACAGGGCUUAAAUGACUUGGGCCACCCAGGUUUGGCCCAAUUGUGCCCAGCCUGGGUGAUUUAUUUGAAAAUCCAUUUUAGUUUUUGUUUUCUUGUUUAUUAUAAUUCCUAUUUGCAUUUCAAAAAUCCUAAUUAAGCUAAAUCAACCUAAUAACUACCUAUUGUGCAAAAAUAAAUAAGAAUGCAACAAUGAAAAUUAAUCACAAAAUGCAAAACAAUUACAAUGCCGGAAUAACUUCUUGAUUUUUUGUGAUUUUUAUAUUUGCAAAAAUUACCCUAAUUACCAAUUAAACUAGCAAAACUAUGAAAUUAAAUCCUAAAUGCUCGUGCAAUUCUUUUUUUUUAUUUAUGAUUUUAUGCAUGCAUUAAUGAAAACACACUGAUACGCGCAGUGAAAUCCUAAAAUUAAAUCCUAAAAAUAAAUAUUUAAGAGAAAAAAUCCUAAACUUGAGAAUCCUGUAGGAAUCAUCUCAACGGGGAAAAAAUCACAUGCUCACAGCUGCCCCUCUUUGCUCAGAAAAACAAAGAAUUUUCGUGCAACGACAAGUGAGCUAACAUGGGCGAUUUUCAUUCGGCUAAAUUCUUCGUGUGAAGCACUUCUGAAAAAUUUCUGACCAAACCUUGCUUCAAAGGUUUCCUACAUAUCCUCGGCGAUAAAUGAAUCAGGUUAGUGUAGUUCUGGAAGUUUUGGUAGCUGGGACUACUAUGAGGUUGUGAUUUCACUGCUGUCGAUGCAGCUACUGCUUACCGACUCUUUAUUACAAGAGAAAAAAACAACAUCUAAGCUAAGGUCUAUAAUCUACGAGUUACGAAAUUCCUAUUCAUGAGUCUCUUGCAACUUGAUCUCGAGUCUUGGAUAGCUCUUGUAGCAGGACAGGUGGGUCUCUUUUUGUUCUUUUCCUCUUUUCAUUAUUUCGGAUUGAAUCUCCCUCUUCAGGUCAUCUCAAAUUCUGUGCCUUGGAGUACAACAUGCUCGGACACCAAAACCAACGAGCAAAAUUUUCUGUCCCAGUUUCCACUAGGAAAUUUCGUGAGCUAUCUGCAACACAAAUCUAAACUUUUUUUACUGAAAACAAUAUAAAAUCAGGAUUGCGUACACUUUGGUUUGAUUGACAAGUUAUACUGGGAAAGGAAAAGGGGCCCUGCGAGGGAUAGGAGAAGGAUCCACGGUUUAUGCCGGGAUAAGAAUGAAAAAGUCCCUGCUGGGGUAAGAAAAGAUCCGCGGGUUAUGCCGGGAUGGGAAGGAAAAGUCCCCAUUGUGGAUAGAAGGAUAGCCAUGGGAAUGGAAUGCAGUCCUCGGGUUAUGCCGAGGAAAUCCCCAAGCUGUACAAGGAGAAGCUAGGGAUUGGCAGCCAAUGCUAUGAGUUGCAGGAGAAGAAUGAAAAGAAGAACUUCCCUUUUGUUAUUGAUGCAACACUAUUCUUGGUCCUUGCGCCUUUCCUUUGGUUGUGUUUACCUUGUGUUCCUUUUAUUUUUCUAGAUUACACAUGCGUUUACUUCAAUUAAAAAAUGAAACACACUGUUAGUUUGAAUAGUGAUUGGGUUUGCGGCCUUGUUUUUCUUGACUUCAAACUCAUUUACGUUAGACGAGAAACCUUUGACUUAGAUCUUUGCCUCAUAGGUUGGCCGGGGGGUCCUCAUUUCCGGGUUGGCUUUUUGUUUUCCAGGCCUUUUGUUAUGACCUUUGUCUUUAUUUCGAUUUCAGAGCUUGCCUUUGGGAUCUUUGGUAGGAAUCAUUAUCCUGCUUGGGCUUAACCCUUCCUACCUUCAUGGACUUUUUAACUUUGAAUUUCCUUUCUUUCUAUUUUCCUUCUUUUGAAGCGUUAGACGUCCUGAUCAUCUAGGGUUGGCCAAAUGCGCUUAAUGGUGCUGGUCAUUCCUUUAAUCCUUUCCAGGAGAAAAACUUGUGAGACCGACCCUGCUACCUUUCUUAAGAAAGGGUCAGAACAUCAAAGUUAAAGGGGAAAGAAAUGAAACAUGAAUUUUGGAGAGGUAUGUCUCUUUUGUAGGAAGAAGAGGGGACUUAUCUGGGAGUGUGUGCCGGCUUUAAAUGGCAACGACAUGCCUCUUGGACUAAAUACUCGGCCCAGCUCCAUUUAUGCUUUCUGAUUUCAAAUCUUUCAAAACCAAAGAAACUUAUUCAUACUUGAGCGGCAAUAUUUCCUCUUUUCGGCCAACGACGCCCUUUUUGGGUUUUCGCCAGUCAGCCUCUCUCAUUUCUCUUCUCAGGUCGCCCGAUUGCGCUCUUUGCGAGUUUUCGGCAAACGGACUCUCAUUUUAUUUUUCUCUGCUCGCCAUCGCCUUAUGGAGCCUGGAGGUUUUCAUUGAUAAGACUCUCUCAUUUUAUUUCUCUCAAAAAUUUGAGUUGUGUCGAAUUUCAACAAAGGUGUUUUUCACGUCCCUGUUUUGGUCAAUUGAUCUGAAGAACUUGGACUAGGCUUCUUGAGUAAAGGAAGUUGGACGAUAAUCUACAACUCUGGAACCAUUCGGUCGGAUUUGUAACUGAACCAAUACAUAUCUCCCCCAGUUUUGGUUUUCUUGGGGAAAUUGGAUUUUAUUUUGAUAUGACUGAACCUCAGGGAGAGGCUUCCUACGUAUCCUUUCGGAAUCAAGUCAGACGUAGUUCAGGAAGUUUUUUUUCUAAACUAAUUUGUUUGUGUUUUAUUAAUUCAUUUUUUCUUUUCUUUUCUUCUUUCUUCUCUUUCUUUUCUUUUGUUUUGAACAGCAUUUCCGGGUUCCAAGGAGGGUGAUCAAAGAAAUGUAACCGGCUUAAAGGGUUUGCGAGGGAUUGAUAGUGUUUAUGGUAGCGGGAAAGAAACGCCUUUGUCAUUUCAAUCAAUAGGGGUCAUUGCCGCAGGAAGUUCAAAGGUAAUACCUUUUUACUGCAUCUGCAUUUACUGCUGCCUCGGGCUCGUCUCCUUCAAUGUCACCCAAGUACAAUGCUCCUUUUGGCAGUAUCUUUCUGAUAAUGUAUGACCUUUCCAGUUUGGAGUGAACUUUCCUUUGGCUUCCUGAUGGUGAGGAAGUAUCCACCUCAAUACCAGCUGCCCAACUUCGAAAUUCCUAGGGCGCACUUUAUUGUUGUAAGCGCGGGCCAUUCUUUUUUGGUACAAAUUCCGUGACAGACCGCUACCAUUCUUUUUCAACAAUUAAGGACAGCUGCUCCAAACGAGUUUUAACCCAUUCACUAUCUUCAAUUUCUGCUUCAACAAUUACUCGGAGUGAAGGGAUUUCUACCUCUGCGGGUAUGACAGCUUCGGUCCCAUAGACCAGUAAAUAUGGAGUUGCUCCUACAGAUGUGCGUACUGUGGUACGAUAUCCCAGCAAUGCAAAAUGCAACUUUUCAUGCCAUUUCCUCGAGCUUUGAAUCAUUUUCCUCAAGAUCUUCUUGAUGUUCUUGUUAGCUACUUUCACGGCACCAUUAGCUUUGGGCCGGUAAGGGGUGAAAUUUGUAUGUGUUAUCUUGAAUUGUUCACAUAUUUCUCCCAUCAGGCGACUGUUUAGAUUAGCUACGUUAUCUGUAAUGAUGGUAGUGGGAAUCCCAAAACAACAAAUGAUGUUGGAAUGCACAAAAUCCACCACCGCUUUCUUGGUAACAGACUUAAGAGUGAUGGCUUCAACCCAUUUUGUGAAGUAAUCAAUAGCGACCAAUAUGAAUCUGUGUCCAUUAGAGGCUUUUGGCUCGAUCGCCCCAAUGACAUCCAUGCCCUAUGCAGAAAAUGGCCAUGGUGCUGACAUAGGAUGCAAUUCAUUCGGCGGUGCAUGAAUCAAAUCACCAUGCACCUGACAUUGAUGACAUCUCCGAAUGAAGCUGAAGCAAUCUUUCUCCAUGGUCAUCCAGUUAUACCCGACUCAGAGUAUCUUCUUUGCCAGCACGUACAGGUUCAUAUGAGGCCCACAUACUCCCUUGUGUACUUCGUGAAUAAUUCUCUCGGCUUCCUCGGUGUCGACACAUCUCAGAAAAUUAAGAUCUGGAGUCCUUUUAUAUAAAGUAUCACCACUCAAGAAGAAAUUUCUUGCGUGCCGUCGGAUGGUUUUCUUUUGCUCCUCGGUGGCUUGCUCGGGAUACUCUUGGGUUUUCAGGAAUAUCGUGAUGUCAUAAUACCAGGGUUUUGUGCUGAACUCUGCUUCGGUCACAUUAAUGUGGCUUGCUCGGGGUACUCCUGUGUUUUCAAGAAUCUCUUGAUGUCAUAACACCAGGGUUGUCUGCUGGAUUUUGCUUCGGUCACAUUACCAUACCCAUGACUUUCUUUGAUUUGGAUUUGUAAAGGAUCAACAUAGGCGUUUUUGGGGUAAGGCAGCAUGGAGGCCAAGCUUGCGAGUGCGUUUGCCAACUCAUUGUGGCAAUGGUGAAUGUACCUGAAUCGUACCGACGUGAACCAUUUGCUGAGGUCUUCCGCAUGUUGUAUGUAUGGGAUGAGUUUAAUGUAUCUUGUUUCCCAUUCUCCUUGAGCCUGUCGGAUGAUAAAACCUGAAUCUCCUAUGAUUAAUAAUUCAUCAACAUCUUGGUCAAUGGCCAUGUUCAUGCCAUGAUGCAAGCCUCAUAUUCAGCUAUAUUAUUGGUGCAGAAAAACCAGAGCCUGGAUGUAGCCGGAUAAUGUUGACCAGUGGGUGAGAUUAAAAUUGCCCCAAUCCCUACGCCUUUUGCUUUUACUGCUCCGUCGAAGAACAUUUUUCAAACGGGGAUGUCUUCAGAUGUUACUUCCUUCGAGUUCACUUUUUCAUCAGGGAAAUAGGUAUUCAAAGGCUGGUAUUCAUCAUCAACGAGAUUUUCGGCCAAAUGAUCUGCCAAUGCUUGAGCUUUCAUUGCAGUACGAGUGACAUAAACUAUGUCGAACUCGGUGAGCAGGAUUUGCCAUUUGGCCAGUCGCCCUGUGGGCAUUGUUUUUUGGAAUAUAUACCUCAGUGAAUCCAGCCUGAUUAUGAGGUAGGUGGUAUAAGCUUGCAGAUAAUGCCUUAACUUUUGGGCCACCCAUGUCAAGGCGCAAUAGGUUCUUUCUAGCAGCGUGUAUUUGGUCUCGUAACUGGUAAACUUCUUGCUCAGAUAAUAGAUGGCUUGUUCUUUCUUUCCCGUGGCAUCAUGCUUCCCGAGAAUACAACCAAAGGAGCUUUCCAGUACUGUCAGAUAGAGAAAUGGUGGCCUUCCCGGUUCCGUCGGAACUAAAACUAGUGGGUUGGACAAAUAGUGUUUGAUUCUAUCAAAAGCCUCUUGACACUCAACAGUCCAUUUAACUGGUGCAUCUUUUUUCAAUAGCUUGAAUGCGGGCUCGCAUGAGGAAGUCAACUGGGCAAUGAAUCGGCUGAUGUAAUUCAAUCUUCCCAAUAAACUCAUCACAUCCUUCUUGGUCUUUGGAGGAGGUAGCUCUCGAAUGGAUUUUAUCUUUGUCGAAUCCAACUCGAUACCUCUUCGGCUAACAAUGAAUCCCAGAAUUUUUCCUGACGGGACCCCAAAUGCACACUUGGCAGGGCUUUAUCUUGGCGGUUCCAACUCGAUACCUCUUUGGCUGACAAUGAAUCCCAGAAGUUUACCUGACGGGACCCCAAAUGCACACUUGGCUGGAUUCAAUUUCAAGUCAUACUUGCGAAGCCUUUCGAAAAAUUUUCUUAAGUCCUUUACAUGAUCAUCCUGAGUCUUGGACUUGAUAAUCACAUCAUCCACAUUUACUUCUAUUUCUUGAUGCAUCACGUCGUGUAAAAUUCUGGUCAUGGACCUCAUGUAUGUUGCCCUGACAUUUUUCAAUCCAAAGGGCAUAACUCUGUAACAAUAAUUCCCCCAAGGUGUGGUGAAGGCGGUUUUCUCAGCAUCUUCCUCAUCCAUCAACACUUGGUGGUAUCCUGCGUAGCAAUCUACAAAGGACUGAAUCUCGUGUUUGGCACAGUUAUCGACAAGGAUGUGGAUGUUGGGUAGAGGGAAUUUGUCCUUGGGACUCGCCUUGUUUAAAUCUUUAUAAUCCACACACACUCAAGUUUUCCCAUCUUUCUUCGGUACCGGGACCACAUUGGCCAACCAUAUGGUGUAUCGAACCACUCGGAUUACCCCCGCCUCUAGUUGUUUUGUGAUCUCUUCUUUGAUCUUAUCGCUGACAUCAGGUUUGAACUUUUUUUGUUUUUGUUGGACCGGAGGGCAUUCAGGAUAUGUGGGCAACUUAUGAACCACCAGAUCAACACUCAGUCCAGGCAUAUCAUCGUAAGACCAAGCAAAUACAUCUUUGAAUUCAAAAAAGAGUUGAACCAAUAAAUCCCAUAUUUCUUUAUUCAUAUGGAUGCUUAUUUUAGUUUCUUUGAUUUCACCGGGAUCGCCCAAGUUAACCGGUUCAGUGUCAUUUAAGUUUGGCUUAGGUUUUUUUGAAAAUGUUCCAGCUCUCGGUUGAUUUCCCUAAAAGCCUCUUCUUCAUCGUAUUUCCGUUCUUGGUUCAUUAUUUCACAAAUAGGUAGUAUGUUAAGGUGGUGUAAUGAAGUCCGCGAGCAUGUCAUUUUAUUUAAAGCCGCAUUAUUGGGACUGAAAGAAAAAAUGAUCAAAAUAAAAGAAAGACAAAAUCAGAGAAAGACAGAGAAGUGCAAACAAUGAAAUAUUGAUUUCGUUUCUUUGAACUUUUAAGAUAACAGGGUUUACAACUGGAAUUUAAAGGAAAAAAUGCUAAAGAAAAACAACCGAGAUACACCCUAAAAUAGCUCGUGAUGCAAGAAAAGGUAGUAAGGCGGGACUACCGGGCCUCCCGCCUGACUGGGAAAGGCGUGGCCUUCCAGUUUUGCAGCUUGGCAUCCGGUCCCAUAUAGAGCACUUCAGCAGUGCUUGAGCCUUCUCCCAGCUGAACCAUGUUGGCUUGAUUCAAUAAUUCCCUCAUGGCUCCACAUAUCUCAUCAAUUUAUUCUACUGUGAAGGUCUCUUCUUCCUAUUCCUCGCUGUACUUUGGUUUUACAAAUGUUUUGAGUGGGGUAGGGGUUGUGGCAAAGCCCAUCCAUGACGCUUUCUGCGAUUGGACCAGGUGAUAUCUUCUGAUGUUUGAUCAAAGCCUAGACCAAAGAGCUUUUCUGCAGCGGGCAAAGCGACCGACUUAAUUAUGCCUUGUAGGGAGCUUCCAAGUCCCUUGCCUGGCUUAAAACCUUGGCGUGUCAUUUCCCUUGCCACCAUGAUUGAAGCAUUUGAGAAGAAAGGCUGGGGAAGUGGAUUGCCUUCGUCGUGUUGAUCGGCUACCUCAUAUUCAAAAGCUUAGUAAAUCAUUUCCCUUAUUGAAGCAUUUGAGAGGAAAGUAGCUUUCCUUCUUCGUGUUAAUUGGCUACCACAAUUUUAAAAGCUUGAUAAACUAUGUGCUCACUUCCUUCUUUGGCUUCGAGUUAGGGAAUAGAGGGGUCCCAGUAAAUCGACUCUUCGUCUUCUCCGUGAACUACAAUCUCCUGGUUUUCAUGUUCGAACUUCAACAUUUGGUGCAGAGUAGAGGGCACCGCUCCUGCUGCGUGAAUCCACUGUCUUCCUAGGAGGUAGUUAUAGGAUAUGUCCAUGUCCAAUACUUGAAAUGUCACUGCAAAGUCGACCGGACUAAUGGUCAGCACUACGUCAAUUUCCCCUAUGGAGUCUCUCUUGAUUCCAUCAAAGGCUCGGACACACACGUUGUUAGGACGGAUCCUCUCUGUCCCAAUCUCCAUCCUUUGCAAUGUUGACAGUGGGCAUAUAUCUACCCCAAAAACUCCGUCUACCAUCACUAUUUUGACAUAAUAGCCCUCGCAUUUGACAGUGAGGUGCAAGGCUUUGUUGUGGGCAGCUCCUCCGGAGGUAAGUCAUCCUUGCUGAACGUAACCUGAUUAAUGGCAAAGAAUCUUUCCGCCAUUUUAUCUAGUUGCUCCACGGAGGUUCCAGCCGGUACAUAAGCUUCAUUCAGGGUUUUGGCCAACACUUACUGGUGGUCGGGAGAUUUCUUCAAGAGUGACAAUGAAGAGACCUGCUCGGGAGACUUUUGAAGCUGGUCCACCACCUCAUAUUCUGGCAUUUUCAUUUUUUGAAAGAAGGCCUCUGCCUCUUUAGCAUUGAUUGGCCUCUUAGGUGGAAAUCACCGUUUGGUAGCAGCGUUCACUUCUUCCAUAUCUGAAUAUUUCUUUGUGGGAUGGCCUUUUUUAGUUUCCCCAUUGAUUUAUUUGCCCUUGUAUGUGACUAUGGUUUCUUGGUAAUUCCAUGGGACUACAGAAGGGUUCAUCAUUGGCUUCUAAGGUGCGCGACCGAUUGCCACGGGCUCAUUCAGCAUUGGUGGUUUAAUCGGUCCCCGUACCACAUAAGAUCUAUUGGGUACAUACAUUGUUUUGUUGAACUCAAACCUUCUUGGGGGACUCAAAGUGGGCUAUUUUUCUUGACGCCUCCAUGGGAUGUAAAGUAUUAUUUCCUUGGUAGGGGUCGUCUCAGUUUUGAUCUCAGGCUUCUUCUCUGCCCGGAUGCUUGGCUUAACCUAUUUCCUAUUCUUCGACAAUCUUGAGGGUAACUUUCGGUUUUCUAUCUGCCUCAGCAAUGGCUAUUAUGGAUUUUAAGGCGGGGUCAAAUUCUUUGUCCUCACAAAUCAUUCUGAUGACUGGCCCGUUGAUGUGAGCCGACAACGGGUUAUUGGUUAUGUUUGGGACCUCUUAAUCUCUCAAUAUUAUUUUCUUUUUUUCUUUCUAUCAAAUCCUCCACCGCUCGUUUCAGAGUCCAGCAGUUUUCGGUGUCAUGUCCUUCUGCCCCGGAGUGAUGAGCACAACGUACGCCCCUUUGAUAGGAAAGCAACUCGGGGUUUUACAUGUUCGGGCGCACGGGCUGCAGGAGACCCAUGUGGACCAAUUUUGGGAAUAGGCUGGCAUAAUAUUCCCCGGAAUGAUAAGCACAACGAACGCCCUUUGAUAGGAAGGUGCCUCGUUGUUUCUCCUGUUCAGGGGCACGGGCUGCAGGAGACCCAUGUGGACUAAUUUUGGGAAUAGACUGGCAUAAUAUUCCUCUAUUGGAGUAAAGUUUUGUCUCCUGGGUGGUUCCCUGGGACAGUAAUUAUUUUGUGGAGGACGGGGAUUAUAGUGGUUCUGAGGAGGUUGAUUUCUCGGGGCUUGGUUUAUGUUGCCCGGCUGUUCUGGUCGAGCAAAGGGUUGAGCAUUCAUGAUUGCAUAAGGUUGAGGAACAUAAUGCAUGUCUUGGUGGGGAUAGUAAUGUUGAGAGGCCCUUUCUGAGAAUACAUGUCCAUGAGUAUUAUGUCUUCUCAUUUCGGGGGCUGCCAUUGACACUUCCUCUUUCUUUUUGUUUCUUGUGAUCCCUCCCACCUUGCCUUGUAUGGUCUGGAUGAGCAUUAUGUCUUCUCAUUCCAGAGGUUGCCAUUGACACAUCCUUUUUCUUUUUGUUUCUUGUGACCCCUCCUACCCCUCCUUGUAUGGCCUGGGAGGUUGCUCUUAUUGCGGACUGACUCAGAAUUCUUCAUGUCUUCAGGCCAUUUUCUACCAUCUCACCGAUUUUAAUUGCUUCUGUAAAAGGUUUGCCCGUUGCUGACAUCAUAUUUUGUAUAUAAUCUGCCUCUUGCGCUUAUAGGAAGACGAUGACCAUCUCCGUCUCGUCCAUGGGUGACUUUACUCUUGAAGCUUGCUCGUGCCACUUAACAACAUAUUCUCUGAAGCUUUCUGAAGGUUUCUUUUUCAAGUUGGCCAAGGAGUUCCUGUCCGGGGCAAUGUCAAUGUUAUACUGGAAUUGCCUUACGAAAUCCUGGGAAAGGUCAUCCCAGAUAUGCCAUCGAGUGAUAUCCUGGUCCAUGUACCAUUCAGAAGAGAUGCCUACUAAGCUCUCCCCAAAAUAUGCCAUCAAGAGUUCUUCUUUUCCUCCUGACCCACGCAGUUGGUUGCAAUACUUUUUCAAAUUAGCAAUGGGGUCGCCGUGGCCAUCGCAUUUUUCAAACUUCGGCGUUUUGAACCCAGAGGGAGAUGUACGUGUGGGAACAUGCACAAGUCCGAGUAAGACAAACUCUUCUGUCCACUUAAUCCUUGCAUGUUUUUCAGACUCUGUUCGAGGCUCUUCAUCCUUCUGGUUAUUUCAUCUUGUUCCGGUGUUUUAGGGGUGUUGUCUUGCACAUGUGUGAGUUCGUAUACUAGUUGGGGGUAGUUGUAGGUGGGGUAUGGGGGAGGCUCGUUUUGGUAAUUGGGAGUUUGAAAUGUGAACGUUGUGGGGUUGAACAUGGGCCUCGGCACUGCAGGUUGUGUGGUGGCUGCGUAUGGAGGAGCCGUAAAAAUGUUGGGAACUAGAUCAAAUGUGAGCAUCGGAGGGUGAGUUUCAGAAGGCGCUCCAACAAAGUUGGUUGAUAUGGUGGGAUGUCCCAGGAGGAUAUUUGGGUGACUGAUAGGGAUGGUAGACGUACCCUCUGACCUUGGGAAAAGCUCGGGAAAUCCGGGGAUAGCACUUGGAGGUUCUUUCCCAUUUGUCCAAGCAUCCCACAUCUCUAUAACUCGGAGUCAAGGGAUCCUAUUCUCUUCAGCCACCGUAGAUUCAGAGGCUAGGAUUCCCGUAAUUGGGUUGUCCUCUAGGAUAGGGACUGCUGGUAGAGUCAUUUCGGUCGACAUCUCUGCGUUUUCUUUUGCUCUAGUAAAGUAUCCCUGCGAAGCCAGCUUACCGCAAACCAAUCACUAUUCUUAAAACACAUGGAGUGGAAACUGGAAUUUCAAAUGGUUAGGUUGAGGUAGAUAACAAACAGGAAAUCGCAUGUUGGGUAUGAUGCACCUAUGCAGUCAACGGGUUUUAAUAUGCUUGCAAUGGUCGCCUGUGUCAUCCCGACAUUUAUUCCGAAUUUCCUUUUGUUUCCUACUUCUUGUUUUCACCUAUGAUGACCCUCUAUUUAAACCAACGCUCUCAUUGCCACUCCAUUCUUUUAAUUGCUCCAGAAUGCGGGCUCGUUCCGCUGUACUUUUAAUCAAUUGCUUCCGAACCCUAGCUAGCUCACUCUCCACCUUAUUUAGGUCGAACCCGUAUUCGGUUACUUUCCACCGCAAUUUUUCUAUGAGCUUUUCAUCUUUUGCAAUCCUAGGAGGAUUUUCUGUGGCUGCCUUAAUUUUCUGGAUCUAAGCUCGUAGGGCUUCAUUUUCUUUAGUCAAUACCUUCUUUUCUCCCUUGGUGGCUGCAGCUUGCAAACUGUUAUCAAAUCUCAGCUCUUGGAUUUGCUUUUCCAGCCUUCCUAUAGUAGCCCUAUACUCAUUUUAUUUUGCUAACCAAUCUCACUGCCGAUGCGAUGUCUCAACAAAUUCUUGGAGAUGUGGUCUCUUAGCGGGCCUCCCAGGUUCUAUGUCUCUUUUGUACCAAGAAACAUAUCCCGGUGCAACCUCACUUUUAGAUACAUCACGUACUCGAGUUUCGACCGUUAAGUAUUGACAUUCACUCCAGAUUUGGCGUACAACGAAUUCAGAGAGUUGACCAUAUGGGUUUGUCUCAACCACAUAAAGGCUAAUAUCCUCGUCUCUAGGGAUCAUUUGGCAUCUACCCAAUUGUCUUAGUACUCAAUAUGGCGUGUAGGUCUGGAUGCUUCGGACAUCCAUCAGAAGGAAAUUAGGUCCGGUGGACGGCAUAUACACAAUUUCGUCCACAGGGAGCCAACCGAAUGUCCAUUCUAUUUGAUUUGCAUUGAUGACCCGGAAAUACUGUGACACCCUCAGGUAGUUUAAACUCAUCAACCCUUUUGCCAAAUUCUUCUAUGCAGCUCUUUGUUGGCGACCCGUAAUUCAUGAACUGAGGCUGGUGGCAUAUAUGCUCGAUCAUCCAUAUUUGCAACAACAAGUUACAUCCCUCGAAGAAGUCUCCUCCCGCUUUACAGACUGUGAGAGCACGGAAGAUGUCAGACAAGAUCAUUGGAGUGAGGGUACUCUUAUCCUGGGUCAUUAAAGUGCUAAUGACUCCCGCUAUCCAUAUGUUAAUAUUCCCAUCCUUUUGCGGCAAUACUAGAAGACCUAAGAAAGAUACCAUGAACGCAAAACAUCGAUGCUCCUCCCACUUGAGCCGAUUUCCCUUGCAACAAAUAAGACUUUCGGGGUUGUAGAAUCCUCAAAUGGGUCCAUACCUCUGAUAUAUAAAUUGCGGGGUGCAAAAGCCAGUCGAUAAGUCGGGAUUGUGAACUUUUCUGUUGAUUUUUAAGGAAUCCAGGAAUUUGUGCACAUCGAGGGCUCUUGGUGCAAUCAAGUACUGCUGUCUCAAAGGGAUUUUAUGGGUCCCCAUAUAUCCGUUCAUUUCCUCUAAUGUCGAGGUGAGCUCAAAGUCCGAGAAGUGGAAGACAUUGUGGGCCGGGUCCCAGAAAGUGAUUAAGGCCUUUAUGAUGUCUCCCCUGGGGUUUAUUUUUGUCAAACCAGUGAGGCCUCCCAGAUGUGUUGACCUUUUUCUGCCCUGCUUCCCCAUGAUCAUUCCACCAUAUUCGCAAAUCCAAGGGAAUUUUUUUCAUUAUCAUGCUCAUUCUGCACAUUUAUUAAGGCGAAUUACUAUUCUUAGAAUAUUAAGACCGGGAUUUUAUGAAUUUAGUUCUUAAAAUCAAUGACCGGCUUUGCGAAUACAUCCUUGCAACACUUCGGAGAGAAGGUUUUUUGGGCUGUGCUUGCUUACCAGUCAGAACAAGAUUCAGAGGGUGGCCAUUUCUGAAAGAUCAGCCUUCCGGCGUCCCUUGCGGUAACAUUCGGCUUUUACUGGAAGUAAUGGCACCACCCGACUUAUUUUAACAAGUGAAUAAACUCGGACAUUCAUUUUUUCUUGUUUUGGAAUGUUUCAAAAAAAAGGGUUGGACUCGGCAAAAUAAUUUAUUAGAAGCCCAAAAAUAUUAUUGAAAAACUCCCAAUUUCUUUUCCUUUUGUUUUUUUCGAAACAUCCAGCAGAAUUUCGGCGCUAUUUUAAGAAUUGGUUUUACAAGUGAUCACCCUAGCACCGCUAUUUUCCUCAAUUUAUUCUCCUUGUUCACAAGCUGGUCAACAUGCGAAUCCAAAGCAAAUAAAUGCACAAGUAGCACGUAAAAUGCAUCAGGAUGGUCUUUUAUUUCAGGUUACCUGUCCUAGACUGACCCAACCGCUGUGUUGAGUCCCCUAAGUCAAAUGCAUGAUGAAAAUAAACGUUCCUACUAGGGAUCCGGCAUGAGGUUUUGUUAUACUAAGUUCAGCACCUCCGUAUAGGGUCUAGACUAUGCACCCGAGCGGACAACUCGAGUCGAGGAGGGGGGCUACGUACCGGGAACCGAAAGGCCAUCUGGCUUAGCAACUUGUUUGGCCUUUUUCUUAUUUUCAGGUAUGACACUAACAGUAUAGGGAGUCUCAACCAGUAAGCACAUCCCCGGAGGUAAAGAAAGAAGGGUUUCGAACCAUUUUAUAUAUAUAAUUCAAUCAAUAUCAAAGCGGUAAAGCAUUUAACACUUAUAGCAUGGAACAUGCAAUGAAAUCAGAUAAAAGCAAAAUGUAACAGUUAUACUAAGCUCGAAUUCUUGAACCUUGAACCAAAGAUUCUGGUUUCCUCCCCAGCACAGUCGCCGGUGCUGUCACACCUCCUUUUUUUACACGGUUACCCCGAAGGAUGACAAGUAUAAGGGAGUUUUUCCAAUUAACGUGACAUCAUUCGAAAUGGGAUUAAUUAUUUAUAUAAGAGUCUCCACUUGGGAUAGGUUUGAAUUUUUGUGUCCCAAGUCACCAGUUUAUUUUGAAUCCCAAAUCGAGGAAAAAAUUUCGACUGCCCAAUAGGAGUCUGCGAACUAGAAAUUCUUGAGUAAUGAAUUCUGUUGACCCGAGGGAAGGUGUUAGGCACCCUCGGAUCCCUUGGUUCUUCCACGGUCGCUUAAUCUAUUAUAAGGGGCUAACAAUUCUGAUUUUUGUACAUGUUCAUCUUAUGGUGCAAUUUUAAAAUUAUUAACCGCUUUAUUUAUUUUAGAAAUAUUUGCAACGUUAUUAAAACACGUCUCGAACCACGUCACAUAAAUGCACCCGGGUCCUUGACAUAUAUUAAUGUCGCUGAGACUUGGAUUUGGGUCACAUAAAUGCGUACCCGAUUUUAGGAAGAUAUUUUAUUAAUAAACUCGCGCCUAUAGCAACUACGCAUUUAGAAAUUCGUGGAAGGCCGUGAAAUUAGCUAAAUAGCACUUCCAAUUUUCUAUAUAUUUUAUUAAGUUAGGGAGUCUCGCGUGGUGUUUGAUUAAGUUAGCGUGGCUCAUUUUAUUAAUAAAAGCACUCCUAUAGCAUACUAUAGUUUUCUAUUAUGCUUGUAUCUAAAAAUGUCCUAAAAUUUCAUACAUGAGGGAUGCAUUUAGAGAGAUUUAACAUUUAUAGUUCCAGCCUCAUUCAUGGCUGGUUACGUAACCUGGGCUUCGUUUAAUAUUGGGUCCAGGAAAUCUAUAUUCUUUUAUGUCGCAAAUGAUAGUAGUUAGACCUUCCAAUUGGGCCCAGAAUAAUGGACUUAAGUCCAUUCUAGAAAAUGAUAGUAAACCUUUGAUUGAUUAUAUCACAGUCAUCAACAUUAUACAAAUGGUCAUUUUUGAAAAUACUGAAGACAUUUUUAUAUAGAAUUUUGAUAAGGAAUUUGUAUUAAGCAAAUAUAGCUCGGAUUUAAAUUGAGCGUCUAAGGGCUGGGAUUAAGAUACUCAUCAUUCAGAGUAUACAUAAAUACACCUAUCUAGUCUCUACUACAACACAAAUUGCAAACACUAAGUAAAUUUGAGCUAAACUAUUGUUUUCAAGUCUACUGAAACUUAGACAAAUUAAAGAUAUAGUCCUGCUACAAUCCAGAAUUAUUACAUGUUCAUGUUCAUUACAAGACCAGAAAUACAACUGAAAAAUAAAUAACAGUCAUAAUAUGAAAUUGAUACAAAAAUAUUAUUGUCUUCAUUAUCAGCUACAAUCUCGAAUGUACAUAGCUAUUACUUCUCAGAUUUUGAGUGAAGAUGGAUACCUGAAAUUUCAACAAAAAAUGGAAUCUAUGAGUAAGGUUAAGAGAAUAGCAAGCAAAAACAACAGCCACACAACCAGCAAAAAUCCAGGAACUCAGGAAAUUUGAGAGGCAAAUAGUGACAAUAGAUCUCUAAAGAAGCUAAGAACUUGUAUUGAUUGUUAAGUAAAGUUCACUCAUAAGGAACCACUCGAAGAAAUUUUCUGAAUAGUGUAUAAGAGUCUAAGGUGUAUCUUUAUCUAUUCUAACUCUCUAAAAGUCUAAAGAAAAACCCCUAAUCCAUUCAAAAAUUUGCUCGAAAAAAUAUCCAAAAGUCCCCUUAAAUUAUCAGAGUGUCCUCUUUUUAUAACUAAAACCUUAGGGCAACAUCAAAUUCUUUUUUUUCCUUUUAGCCCCUUAUACAAUUUUCUGUUUUGCCUAAAUAGUCCUUGGUUUUCUGACUUGUGCCUCAAGUUUUGAGGCAAGAAUUAUACUUAGAACCCUCACUAGAAUGUUCUAGGAGUUAGUUACAUCAUUCACUAUAUUCAAAUACCUUUAAUACCCCAGUCCCUUUACCCGGUUCUCAUCUAUUUGGUCAAAAAUUGACCCUAGUUAGUUGCUUCAGGUUAUAGACCAAAAUCAAAGUCUUAAUUACAGACUAAAUUAUGCAAAAAUAAACAAUAAAAGAGUUAAAAUUUAAUCAAUGCAACUCAUGGAUUCAAGCAAGUAUCUCAAUGUGGAUUUUUUAAAUUACAUACUAAAUUAUGCAAAAAUAAAAAAUCAAAGAGUUAAAAUUUAAUCAAUGCAACUCAUGGAUUCAAGCAAGUAUCUCAAUAUGGAUUUUACACUACUCAGUAACAAGGAUUGAACCAAUUAUCACAACAUUCAGAAUCAUAUGGAUACUCAUAGAAAAUUAGAUACCUUAUGGGUGGGCAUGCAUGUUUUACGUGACAAAACCAAUGAACCAAAACAAUUAGAAAAGAAACCCAAACAACUAUACAGGAAUUAUAAGGAUGGCCAAAUUACAACACUCAACAGAAAACUGAAGGCAAUUAAAGUAAUGGGUAACGGAGAUUAAACACUCAGGAUAUACAUAAAAAACACCCAAAAAAUUAAAACAAGACUGGUAUAAGAAGUUAAAACAUUCAGAAAGGAAAUAAAAAAACUUAGCGUAACAAAUACAAAUACAGAAAAUCAAGAAUAACUAGAAAAAGAACCAUGACAAGUAUAAUACUCUAAAAGGAGACGCCUACUUAGAAUUUUCAAAUAUGAUAUAUUUAGAUAAAAAUAAAAACAAAGAAGAUCAAAAAAGAUGAGCAUUUAGCAAUCACUCAGAAUUUUCCGUAGAUGAACAAAUGAAAUUCAGGAGACAGGGAUGAACAUGGGAACAAACUACUCAGGAAGAUCUUGAAGGUGAAACAUAGAAGACAAAUGAACUCGAAUCAGUAACACUACAGAAAACCAAAAGAACAGAAGGCAAGGAUGACUAAUCACACCAUUUGAAGAUGAGAAUGUAGAAAACAAGAAACAUUAAAGAAAGCAAAGUAAUUAAAACAAGAAAUACAUACAAGAGCACAACAUUAAUAGCAAUUAGAGCACAGGAAACUUAGCUUUCUUUUGGCAUUGCAACCCUAAAUUGGAACUCUUCCAGUCCCACGGUUCUCUGACCUCUUUUAAAAUGUGUUAGAAACAUAGCUUUCUUUUGGCAUUGCAACCCUAAAUUGGAACUCUUCCAGUUCCACGGUUCUCUGACCUCUUUUGAAAGGUCUUUUAACUUCUAAGGCCUUUGCCUUAAGUAUUAAAAAGGGAAAAAGGGGUAAGGGGAAGGUCUGUUGAUUUUGCGAAAAGGUGAGGUCUCAGAUUUGGUUUUCAAUUGUGCCCAGUUGUAUUUGAGGGUUGUGGGUGGCAGGGUUGUGGAUAGGGAUAUGAGACGGUCACCUGGGGCCAAUUUCAUGGGGUUCUGAUGAGUUUUAGGGUUUGGGUUAAUUUCGAUUUGAUAUUUGAGACGAUCCCUUAGGAUUCAAAGGAUGUGGUGUAGAUGGUUGGAAAGAGGGAGGGGAGGUGGUUUAGGGGUGUUAUUUUGGUUUGGUUUAAGGUUGGUCUCGUCGGAGACGGUGGUGCAGGCGAAACUUCUUUCAAAUAUUCGAGGAUUUGUGGGGUUUUUUGAAGGAAACUAACGAUGGGAAGGGAAACAGGAGGUCGAGGUGGUCUGGUGGUGUAAUUCUAAGGCCGUUUGGUGACCGGCCGGCGCCGUGGGGCGAUUUCUGAUGGUGACGUUAUGGUGGUUGAGGGGUGGUAGACGGUGGUGAAGAGAUGGUGUCGGGGUGGUGAUAUAUCGGCGUUAUAGGUACGAGGAAGAUGUAUGUUUUGUCUCUUAAUAUACUGAGAUGUUUGGACAUAUAUAUGUAAUUUGGGGAGUGGCUUCAGGACCGUUGGAUGGCUUAUGAUCAACGGCUAGGAUGAAUUGCCCCAAAACGGUGUCGUUUUGGGGCGUCUCUUGUGGGCUGUGUCGGAGACACCGUUUGGGCUGGGUCUUGGGCAUUUUUACAGGGUUUAAAUGACUUGGGCCACCCAGGUUUGGCCCAAUUGUGGCCAGCCUAGGUGAUUUAUUGGAAAAUAAAUUUUUCUUUUUGUUUUCUUGUUUAUUUUAAUUCCUAAUUGCAUUUUAAAAAAUCCUAUUUAAUCUAAAUCAACCUAAUAACUACCUAUUGUGCAAAAUUAAAUAAGAAUGCAACAAUGAAAAUUAAUAACAAAAAUGCAAAACAAUUACAAUGCCAGAAUAACUUCUUGAUUUUUUGUGAUUUUUAUAUUUACAAAAAUAACCCUAAUUACCAUUUAAUCUAGCAAAACUAUGAAAUUAAAUCCUAAAUGAAAACACACUGAUACGCGCAAUGAAAUCCUAAAAUUAAAUAUUUAAAAGGAAAAAUCCUAAACUUGAGAAUACUGUAGGAGUCAUCUCAAUGGGGCAAAAAUCACAUGCUCACACCCUAAAACUAAAAAAAAAGUAACGGUCAUAGCGAGGCGGUGGGCUUACAACACAAGAAAAUCUUGGAAUUAGGCAAAAUUUAAAUUUUAUGGCCCCAAAACGCCAUGAAAUGAGUAACAGUCAUGGCGUGGUGAUGCCAAUUGAUCCUUAAGAUCGUUUUUUAUGGGCCAAAAAAAUUAAAAACGCUAUCCGGGUCCGGUGGCCCGAGCCUAUGAUUCAGCAUGGGCUAUGGCACACAAAAAUAUGAAAAUCGUGUGGAAUUCCAAUUAUAUGGCCUAAAAUGUCAAAAAAUGAGUAACAGUCAUGGUGAAGUGGAGACUAUUAUUCCUUAGAUCACUUUUAUGGGCCGACAAAAUUUUAGGCAAUCCAGGUCGGGUGGCCCUUGCCCAAUCUACCGGCGUGGGCUAUAGCACAUCAAAAUCUUGGAAUCGGGUGCAAUUCUAUUUUAUGGCCCGAAAAUACUAAAAAAUAAGUAACAAUCAUGACGAGGUUGUGACUAUUGUUCCUUAGGUUAUUUUUGAUGGGCCUACAAAAUUUUAGGUGAUCCAGGUCCAGUGGCCCGGGCCGAAGCUACCGGUGUAAGGUAUAGCUCACAAAAAUCUUAAAAUCAUGUGAAAUUCUAGUUUUAUGGCUAUAAAAAGUCAAAAAAUGAGUAACGAUUAUGGCAAAGUAGUGACUGUAGUUCCUUAGGUUAUUAUUGAUGGGCCGGCAAAAUAGUAAGCAAUCCGGGUCCUAUGGCUUGGGUCCAUGCCACCGGCGUGGGGUAUAGCACUCAAUAAUUCAGAAUUCCGGGGAAAUUCGAGUUUUAUACACCUAAAAGGCCAAAAAUGAGUAACGUUCAUGGCGAGGCGAUGACUGUUGUUCUUAAUGUCAUUUUUGAUAGGUCGGCAAAAUUUUAUGCGAUCUUGUCCAUACGAGUAUUGGUCAAGGUGAGUUGGUGACUAUUGUUCCAUAGAUCGUUUUUUAUUUCCAGAAAAGUUUUAUAUGAUCCUUGUCUGGUAGUUCCGACCUCAUGCAACUGGCGUACACGAAAUUCUGGGAAGUGGGAAAAAUUCCAAUUUGAUGAUAUUAAAAUUCCAAAAAAUGCGUAACGCUCAGGGCAAGGCAAAGACUAUUGUUCCUCAAAUCAUUAUUAAUGGGUCGGUAAAGUGUUAGAUGAUCCGUGUCUAGUCGUCUGGGCCCAUGCCACUGGCAUGGGCGUACAUAAAAAUUUGGGAAUGGGGGCAAAUUUCAGUUCAUGGCCCUAAAACAUCAAAAAACGAGUUACAGUCAUGGCGAGGUGGUGAAUAUUGUCCCUUUGGUCGAUUUUGAUGGGCCAGAAAAAUAUUAGUCAAUUUGGGUCCGAUGGCCCAGGUCCAUGCUGCCGGUGUGGGCUAUAGCACACUAAAAUCCGGGAAUCCGGAAAAUUUUUAUUUUUAUUGCCCUAAAACGCAAAAAUGAGUAAUGGUCACUACGAGACAUUGACUAUUUCUCCUUAUGUCAUUUGUGAAUGCUCGACAAAGUUUUAGAUGAUUCGGGUCCGAUGGCCCAGGCCCAAGCAACCGACACGGGCUAUAGCAUACAAAAAUCUAGAAAUCAAACGAAAUUUAAAUUUUAAGGCCAUAAAAUGCGGAAAAAUAAAUAACGGUCACGGCGAGCCGUUGAAUACUGUACCUGAGGUCGUUAUUCAUUUCCCGAAAAAAUUUUAUGUGGUCUGAAUUUUGUGGCCCUGGCCCAUGAGCACACGAAAAUCUUGAAUCAUGCGAAAUUCCAGUUUUAUGGCCCUAAAAUAUUAAAAAAUGAGCAACGGUCAUGGAGAGGUGGCGACUGUAGUUCCUUAGGUUUUUUCAAUGGGGUGACAAGAUAUUAAGCGAUCCAGGUCCUGUGGCUUGGGUCCAUGCCACCGGCGUAGGCAAUAGCACACAAAAAUUUAGAAAUCGGAGGGGGAUUCAAGUUUUUGUACCUAUAAUUCCAAAAAUGAGUAAUGUUCAUGGUGAUGUGGUAGCUAUUGUUCUUGAGGUUAUUUUUUAUGGGCAGGAAAAUUUUAGGUAAUUCGAGUCCUGUGGCCUAGGCCAUGCCAUCGGCUUAGGCUACAACACAUUAAAACAUGGAAAUCGGGCGGAAUUCUCGAUUUAUGGACCAAUCGCCAAAAACAACUAACCAUUAUGGCGAGACUGUGACUAUUAUUUAUUAGGUCAUUUUUUACGGGCCAGGAAAAUUUUAGGCGAUUCGGGUCAAGUGGAUCGGGCCCAAGCUGCCGGCAUGGGCUAUAGUACAAGAAAAUCUGGGAAUCAUACAGAAUUCUAGUUUUAUGGCCCUAAAAUGUUAAAAACUGAGUAACGGUCAUGUCGAGACGGUGACUAUAGUUCCUUAGGUUGCUUUUAAUUGCCGGAAAAUAUUAAGCGAUCUGGGUCCUCUGGCCGAGGCCUAUGCCCUCGGGUGGGCUUAGCACAAGAGAAUCUGCGAAACAGGCAAAAUUCAAGUUUUAUGGCCUUAAAAUGCUAAAAUAAAAUAGUAACUACCACGGCGUGGUAGUGACUAUUGGUCCUAAGGUCAUUUUUGUAUGGACAUAAAGUAUUAGAUGAUCUGGGUCCCGUAGUUCGGGCCCACGCCAAAUGCGUGGGCUAUAUUACAUGAAAAUCUGGAAACCAAGUGGAAUUCCAGAUUUAUGGCCAUAAAAUGCCAAAAAAUAAGAAAUUCUCAUGGAGAGGCGGAAUUCCAUAAAUUAUUAGAUGAUCCAUGUCUAAUGGUCCGGGCCCAUGGCAGACGCGUGGGCUAUAGCGCACAAAAAUCUGAGAAUCGAGCGAUAUAUUAGUUUUAUGGCCAUAUAAUGCCAAAAAAUAAGAAAUGCUAAUGGAGAGACGGUGACUAAUAUUCCUUAGAUUGUUUUUUAUGGGGUGUUUCAAGUUAUAGACGAUACAGGUCUGAUGGGUUGGGCCCAUGCCACCGGCAUGGGCUACAGCAUUAGAAAAUCUAGGAUCAAGUGAAAUUCCAGUUUGAUGGCCCUAAAAUGCUAAAAAAGAGAUAUCGAUCAUGAAAUGAGGUCACUAUUGUUCCUUAGGUCAUUUUUAUUGGGCCAGUAAUAUUUUAAGUGAUUUGAAUCCAGCAGUACGGGCCCAUGCCAGUAGCAUGGGCUAUGCCAACGAAAAUCUUGGAAUCAGGCAGAAUUUUAGUUUUGUAGUGGCAAAUUUUUUGGUGAUUUAGAUGCGGUGGCCUAGUCACAUGCCAUUUAUAGCACACAAAAUUCUGGAAAUGGGACAGAAUUUCAGUUUUAUGGCCUUAAAAGCUAAAAAUGAGUAACAGUCAUGGCAAGACGAUGACUAUUAUUUCUUAGGUAUUUUUGAUGGGCGGAUAAUAUUUUAGGUGACCCGGCUCUGAUGGCACGGACCCAUGCCACCGGCUUGGAUUAUUGCACAAGAGAAUCUGGAAUCGGGCGAGAUUCUAAUUUUAUGGCCCUAAAACACAUAAAAUGACUACAACGGUCAUGUGAGGCGCUGACUAUUAUUCCUUAGAUUAUUUUUGAUGGGCCGACAAAAUUUUAGGUGAUCCAGGUCCGGUGGCUCAAGCAAAAGCUACAAGUGUAGGCUAUAGCACACGAAAAUCUUGAAAUUGGAUGGAAUUCUAGUUUUAUGGCCCUAGAAUACAAAAAAUGAGUAACGGCCAUGGAAAGACUGUGACUAUUGUUACUUAGGUCAUUUUUUGAUGGACCGGCAAAAUUUUAGGCAAUUCGGGUCCACUAGCCCGGGCCUAUGCCACUGGUACGGGCUAUAACACACAAAAAUCAAGGAAUCAUGUUGAAUUCUAGUUUUAUGUCUCUAAAAAGUCAAAAAAUGAGUAACGCUCAUGGCAAGGUGGUGACUAUUGUUCCUUAGGUUUUGUUUGAUGGGCCGGAAAAAUAUUAAGCGAUCUAGGUCUUGUGGCCCUGGCCAUGCUUUGCUAGGCUAUAACACAUGAAAAUAUGUGAAUCGGGCGAAAUUCUAAUUUUAUGGAUCUAAAUCACCAAAAACAAUAACGGUCAUGGAGAGGCAUUGACUAUUGUCCUUAGGUAGUUUUUGAUUGGCCGUCAAAAUUUUAGGUGAUCCGAGUUCAGUGUCCUUGGCCCAUAACACACGAAAAUCUAGAAAUCGGGCAAAUUCUAGUUUUAUGGCCUUAAAACACCAAAAGACGAGUAAUGCUCAUAGUAAGGCAGUGAUUAUUUUUCCUUAGGUUAUUUUUAAUGGGCUGAAAAAAAUUAUGUUAUAUGGGUCUGGUGACCCGGGCCCAUGCCAGCAACGUGGAAUAUAGUGCACGAAAAGCUGAAAAUUGGGCGGAAUUCCAGUUUUAUGACCCUAAUACGCUAAAAAAUAAGUAGAGAUCACAGUGAGACAGUGACUAUUAUUCCUUAAAUUGUUUUUUUGUAGCAGACAAAAUUUUAUCCGAUCUAAGUCUAGUGGCCUAGGCCCAUGCGACCAGUGUGUGCUAUUGCAUAAGAAAAUUUGUGAGUCGAGAGGAAUUCCUAUUUUAUGACCCUAAAAUAUGAAACAACAAGUAAUGGUCAUGGUGAAGUAUUGACUAUUGUCCCUUAGAUUAUUUUUGAUGGGUCAAUAAUGUUUUAGGCGAUCCGGGUUUUGUGACUAGGGCUUAUGUCACAGUCGUGUGUUAUAACACAAGAAAAUUUGGGAAUCAGGCAUAAUUCAAGUUUUAUGGCCCUAAAAUGCCAAAACAAUGAGUAAUGGGGAUGGCGAGGUGUGAGCAUGUGAUUUUGCAUGAAUUACUCCUAUAAAGUCAAACAAAAUAAUGUCUGUUAUUUGUUUGCAAUUUUAUGAAUUUUCGUGAUAUUUCUGCUAAUUGUUUGAUUUUGCGUGCAUUUUAAUUAAACACACAUUUAUCAAAAAUACAAAAUGUGUUGCAUGUGCAUUUAGGAGUUGAUUUCAAGUUUUAGAAUUAUUCAAUAAUUUAGUCAUUUUAUAUAAAAAAAUGAAUAAUAAAAAAUAUAACUUAAUUUGCAAUUUUAAGUUUAAGUUUGAGUUUUAAGUAAUUUUUCUCUUUAGUCUUAUUUUAAUUUUUUGUGAUAAUAAUUAUUGUAGGAUUAAUUAGGGAUUUUUAGGUUAAUUAGGGAUUUAUAACUCAAUUUAGGUUUGCAAUAAUUUUGGAAGAUAAAAAGAAAAAUGAAAAAAGAGGAGAGAAAAUCUGAAAAUUCAAUUAAACAAAAAGAAUACCCAAUUGGGCCAUUUCACAUUAAAAUUUCACCCAAAUAAACCCUAUACUCGGUCCAGCCCACACCUAAACCGGUCCACCCCCCUCCAAUACAAAAUGACCUCGUUUUGGGGUCGUUCAAUCUCGACCGUCUAGGUAUUAGAUCCUACGGUCCUAAAGCCCGCUACACUUAGUAUAUAUAUAUAUAUAUAUAUAUAUAUAUAUAUAUAUAUAUAUAUAUCCACACNNNNNNNNNNNNNNNNNNNNNNNNNNNNNNNNNNNNNNNNNNNNNNNNNNNNNNNNNNNNNNNNNNNNNNNNNNNNNNNNNNNNNNNNNNNNNNNNNNNNNNNNNNNNNNNNNNNNNNNNNNNNNNNNNNNNNNNNNNNNNNNNNNNNNNNNNNNNNNNNNNNNNNNNNNNNNNNNNNNNNNNNNNNNNNNNNNNNNNNNNNNNNNNNNNNNNNNNNNNNNNNNNNNNNNNNNNNNNNNNNNNNNNNNNNNNNNNNNNNNNNNNNNNNNNNNNNNNNNNNNNNNNNNNNNNNNNNNNNNNNNNNNNNNNNNNNNNNNNNNNNNNNNNNNNNNNNNNNNNNNNNNNNNNNNNNNNNNNNNNNNNNNNNNNNNNNNNNNNNNNNNNNNNNNNNNNNNNNNNNNNNNNNNNNNNNNNNNNNNNNNNNNNNNNNNNNNNNNNNNNNNNNNNNNNNNNNNNNNNNNNNNNNNNNNNNNNNNNNNNNNNNNNNNNNNNNNNNNNNNNNNNNNNNNNNNNNNNNNNNNNNNNNACCAGAGGGCGAUUAUAUCAUCCAAAUACUCCAAAAAUAACACCACACACUCUUCUUGUCGUCCUCUUUCCAGAUAUGUCACUACCAACCCUCAAAUCAUAGCCAAUUGCCCCGAACCUUCAAUUGAAACGUCGGAUGCUCCGCCGUGUACGGCGGCGCCGACGCUAAACGGUCUCAAAUUAACACCAAACGACUACCAGACCUCCUUCAUCCCAAAUCCAUAGGUCCAAUCCCUUAAAUAUUUGCCAAGCAUCUUGAAUCCUAGUUCAAAGAACUCCGGCCAAACCCUACUACCACCAAACCACCCCAAAUAGAUACUAAAUAGCCUCCUCACCUUCCCAGGACGAAUCCAUGAGUGGUUUCCUUCAAAUGUCGCUGCACUGGCUUGAAUAUUAGAUCAAAAAUCUGACUUAAAAGCCAUAGCCGAUGCAUGAAUAUUUCCUGGGUUCAACACAAAUUUUAAGCUAAGUUUUCUGUUGUUUUUAUUUCCUUCUUCUUCUUCAUCUUUGUUCAGUAUGUUUGUUUGUUAGUUCUUAGCUCCAGGGUUCAGGUUAGGGCUUGAGUUUGGCUUAAUUAAAUGGUGUUAGUAGUUUUAUUAGUUUAGGGCUUUCAUGUCAAAUUUUGUUAGGUCAAAGGUUUACAAGUCUAAUUGGUUUUCAGUCUUUGCUUGGAAUUGAACUGCUAGAUUUUAGUCAAGUGGUAGGGCCUUGUUGUUGAUAUGAAUUUCGCCUUCCUACCUGUUUACCUUAUUAGGUUUUAGGUUAGAAAUUAAUGAUUGUAGCACAUUUCAUUUAGCUUAAUUAGUUUGUUAUUUUCUUAUCCUGUUUGACUUAUAGUUUAUAGUAUUAGCUUCCAACUUUAAUGUAAUUAAAAAGUAAUCCAUGUCUGAAGGCAGGGUCAUUACAAUUUCGGGCUGAAUGUUUAUGCCUUUCAAUCCACGAUCUGGGCUGGUUGUUCAGUAGGCUCGACUCAGGGCCAAUUUGAUCCACAACCUACUUGAGUGCAAUGUAAUUGCAAGGUACUGGGAGAUUAGUCUAGGUAUUCGGGGUUGGAGAACCUUUUAUAACAGAUUUAGAAACUUCUAGCAGGGGUUCUCAGUCAAUUUUAAGCUCUAAAACUUGGUCUACAGGUCAAAAACUGAAGGACUAAGAUGAAAAAUAUAAAAUCUGAAGGGUUGCCCUAUUGGCUUACCUAUAAAAGACUCCAUUUCUUUCCUUUGAAGGCAGACUUUUGAAGACAUGGGAAGGUUGAAAAAAAUUCUGAAUAUUCUAGGUAGCUUAAAUUUGAGAAAUACUGAUCCAUUAAGAUUUUGCACAUUGAAUUUUGAAGCUCCUCAUCUAUGAAAGAUAAUUGGUCGUGUAAGAGUGUUUGAAAUGGCUCGAAUUUGAUUCCUGUUGAAAAUCUAGGUAGAUUAUGUGGACAAACUACUGUUUUAUUGGUUAUUUUAGUGUGGAUCUCCUGGAUCUUAAUUGCUGAAAUUGCUGUUGCUGGGUUACUACUGUUGGGUUUCUUCUUAAGCUCAUAGCUUCUUUGUUUAUCUGUUGUAUCAGGUACACGCUCUUGAACUUCAAUGGCUUAUAUAAUGGAUCCGCAGAAUGAAAUAAAAGCUAUCUUAAAGCAUUAUUCCAGUUUAGCCUGAUUUAUGUAGCAUUGUUCAAUUUUGUCUUUUUGAUGUGAUGCGUGUAUUGGUUAAUUAACUCCAGCUUGAGUAAUGUAAGCUCCUUAGAACUAUCAUAGAUUGGGGAAUUUUUUCGAUUGGAGUGUGUAGUUUAAAUUCUGCAUAUUAAACUUGGGUAUGGAUUGUAUGGGAUACUUUAUUAUGUGGUUUCAUUCAGAUUAUGUUAGUAGUGAUGGUUGUGGAUGUUCACAAAGUUAGGAUAGUGAAAUGUUUCUCUUAAAAGUGUAGUGUAUAUAGAAUUUUGUAAGUAUAAGAAAAGUUUUUAAAAGGGUAAGAGCAGAUGGCCCUGUUGAAUACAAAUGGAUCUCAGGGCACUUGUUUGGUCUAUUUGUGAUUUAUUAAGUUUUUUUUAAUUUUGUUUUUAUAAAAAAAAAAAAUGCAAAGGCGAAACGCCAAACUAGUAGCAUGUCUUCUUGACUGUAUCUUAUUAUGAGCUUUGGGCUCAAUGUUGGCCCAAAUGUUAGAAUCCCACUUCAGACGCAUGUGCAGUAUUUUGGCUGCAUUUGACCCUAUUGAAAUUGGGCUCCUUUCGAGCCCAGAUUCGAACAUAUAUGACAAUGGUUUGCUGUUGCCCUUUUGAAUUUUCACUGCCUGAUCAUUUCCUUUUGCAUAAUCCUACGUAAUUAGUCAGGAUCCUUGUAGCCCAUUCCUCUAAUUAUUUAAGUUCAUUAAUUAAUCAAAAUGCGCCAUACUAAAAAGAAUAAUUUAUGGUCCUUUUGUGUUAAAUUAGAAAUAUUUUGGUUAGAAUAAUUUGAGGCGUGCCGCGCUAAAUAAAUUGUGCAACCCUCUAUGAUUACUCCUUUAAAUAAUUAGAACUCGAGGCAUGCCGUUUAGCUAAUGUUCAUGGCCCUCACAAAAUUAAACAACGCGUUAGUUGCUUAAGGCGCUUUAUUUAAUAAUUUUACCUUCUUAAACUCGGGUGCGCAUUUAUGUGACCGAAAUCCAAAUCUCGACGGAUUUGAAAUAUUUCAAAAACCACGGGUGCAUUUAUGCGACGUGAUUCGAGACAUGUUUUAAUAACGUCGCAAUUUUCUCUAAAAAUGAAUAAAAGCGGCUAAAGCUAAAAUUUGCACCAAAGUACAAUAAUGCAUUAAAAUCAGAUAGUUAAGCCAAAUAUAAUAGUUCAGCGACCGUGCUAGAACCACGGAACUUGGGAGUGGCUAGCACCUUUUCCCGCGUUAACAGAAUUUCUUACCCGAAUUUCUGGCUCGCAGACUUUUAAACAGAGUCAACCCUUCCUCGAUUCGGGAUUUAAACCGUUGACUUGGGACACCAUAUAUUAUCCCAAGUGGCGACUUUGAAAUCUCUAAAUAAAUAAAUCCCGUUUCAAUUGUCCUUAAAUUGGAAAAACUCCCUUUCUGCGCCCUUCGCCAGGUUGAAGAUGUUAAAAAGGAGGUAUGAAAGCUCUGGCUACUCUGCUGGGGAUUUGUACCCAGAAUCUCUGGGUCAGGGUUCAAGAAUUCGAGCUUUGAAUAAUAUUUGUAUUUGUCUUUAUCAUUAUCCGAUUUUAUUGCAUAAUUGUGCUCAAUGUGUUAAAUAUUGUUUUACCGCUUUAAUAUUAUUUGGAUUGUAUAUAAAUUUCCGCGAAACCCUUUUCUUCUCAUCUUCGGGGAUGUGAUCGCUGGUCGAGACUCCCUAUUCUAUUAGUUUUAUACCUUCAAAUAAGAAAGGGGCUCGGACAAGUUAUAAAGCCGGAUGACCUUUUGGUUCCCGGUUCGUAGACCCCUCCUCGACUCGAGUUGUCCGCUCGGGUACACAACCUAGACCCUACACCAAGGUUUUAAACCUAGAAUAACUUAACCACAUGUCGGAGCCCUAGUAGGAGCACUUAUUUGCAUCAUACAUUUGACUUAGGGGACUCAACACAAGGGUUGGGAUCGUCUAGGACAGGUACACUCAAAAUAAUGGACCAUCCUGAUGCAUUUUGCGUGCUACUUGUGCAUUUAUUACGGAUUUUGCAUGCCGACUGACUUUUGAAAAAAGAGAGAAAAACAAGAGAAAUAAAAAUCUGACAGUGUGGGGGGUGAGAAAGGAAUUUACGUGCAUCACAAAUCGAUACUUAAAUACUACCAAAAGUUUGACAAAAAAGGGAAAAAGCAACAAAAACCCCCAAAAAAGAGGAGUCUGUUUUCGAGAAAAGGAUUUUUAUGUUUCAACAACAAAAACAAAAAAAGAGGAAAUAUAGAAGUUGGUUUUCAAUUUUGCCAAAAUUGCUCGAACUACGCCAGUUUGAUUCUUACAGGGUGUGGGAUAGGCAACCCCCAUCAUGCCCAACUUCAUUUUUACAAAAAUAUCCAAAUAGAACAAGAUUUUGUGUUGGUGAUUAACAAAUAAAGCAGUUUUUGCAAGAACAACCGCCUUGGAUUAUUUUUCCAUUUUUGACCGGUAGUAGGCACCGCCUUAAAAUCUUCCCCCGAAAGUGCGGAAAGGCCGUAUUUACAAGGUCGGGAUUUUAGUUUUGAAAUGAAAAUUUGGAAUUUUUUUUGUUCCGAGUCUAAUAAAUCAUGAUUUUUUGCUUAAUCCCUUAAUAAAUGGGUAGAAUGAUCACAAAUCAAAAUUUGCCAUUCUCAGUCAUGAACAAGAUUCCUUUGGAGGCACACAUGUUGUUGAAUGAUCUAGGUGAAUCGGGGCAAAACAGGGUCAACACGCACUUGGGAGGACUUAUCAGGUUGUUGGAAAUUAAACCUAGAGGAGAUAUCAUAAAAGCAUUGAUUACAUUCUGGGACCCGACCCACAACGUAUUUCAUUUCUUGGACUCUGAACUCACUCCAACCCUCGAAGAAAUAACUGGAUAUAUUGGGGUUCCCACAAUUCCUCUGAGGCAUCAGUAUCUGAUUUCACCAAGGGCCAUCGCCAUACACAAAUUCUUGGAUUCAUUAAAGAUCAGCAGGAAGGUUUACAAUCCAGACGUGGCGGCCGGCUUUUGUACUCCACAGUUUAUAUAUCAGAGGUAUGGGCACAUAGGGGGAUUUAAUGAUCCAGAAAUAAUACUUGUAGCAAGGGAAAUCGACUCAAAUGGGAGAAACACUGGUGUUUUGCAUAUAUGGUAUUCUUCUUAGAACUUUUGGUGUUUCCACGGAAGGAUGGAAAUAUUGACAUACGUAUUGCAAGGGUUGUCAGCACUUUAACAACUCAAGCCAAGAUCACCCUCGCACCCAUUAUAUUAUCUGAAAUCUUCCGUGCUCUCACUGCCUGUAAAGCCGGAGGAGAUUUUUUUGUGGGAUGCAACCUGUUAUUACAAAUAUGGAUGAUCGAACAUUUAUUCCAUCGGCUUCAAUUCAUGAGUUAUGGGUCGUCAAAAUACAGCUGCAUAGAGGAAUAUUAUAACAGGAUUGAUGGGCUUAGAUUACCAGAGGGCGAUUAUAUGAUUUAUAACAACGGGGAUCAUAUGUAUGCCUGCUACCGGGCUUCAUUUCCUUCUGAUGGGUCUCCGGAGUAUCCAACCCCUAUGCUCCAUACAGAGUGCUACGACAAUUAGGGAGAUGCCAGAUGAUCCCCAGGGAUGAGUACAUUAGUCACCAUGUGGUCGAGAUUGGUCUCAAUGGUCAGUUUCCCGAAGCAGCAGUUCGUCAAAUUUGGAGCGAAUGUCAAUACUUGAUGGCGGACACUCGAGUAUGCGACUUAUCUAAUAGUGAGGUUGCACCAGGGUACCUUGCUUGGUAUAAAAGGGAAAUUGAGUUUUGAAGGCCAGCUAAGAGGCCACAUCUCUAGGAAUUUGCUGAGGCAUCACAAGAACAACGAAAUUGGUUAGCGAAAGAAAAUGAAUACAUGGCCACAAUAUGGAAAUUGGAAAAGCAAGUCAAAGACCUUCAAUUCAAAAAUGGUUUGCAGGCUGCAGCAUAUGAGGGUGAAAAGAAAAGCUAGCCAAAGAAAAUGAAGCCCUCCGAGCCCAAAUUCGAAAAAUAAAAACAGCCGUAGAGAAUCCCGCUAAGAGUGUGAAGGAUGAAAAACUCAUUGACAAAUUACGGCAAAAAGUAGGAGAAUAUGGUUUUGACUUGAAUAAAUCAGAAGGCGAGCUGUCCAGGGCCCGAAAACAAUUGGCCAAAAAUGUGGAGGAACGAGCAUGCAUGAUUGAUCAACUAAAAGAAAGGUAUGACAAGGAGGAUGUUCGGUUGAAGAGGAAGGUCAUCGUGGUUGAAAACAAAAUAGCCAAGCAAGAUAGGGACUUCAAGGCUAAGAGAGAACAUUGUUAUGCAGCAAUAGCACGAUUUGGAAAGAUAUUUGCAGCAAUUCCAAGAACUGAAUCAUGUAGCCGAACGAACUUUGGAGGCAAGGGCCCAGCAAAUUGGGCGAUUGUUGCAAAAAAAGGGUACUAUAAGAGAGAGGGUACGGAAGAUUGAUGAUUACAUCACCAUAAUGUGUAGCCAAUGUGAAGAUAUGGCAAGAUCUAUGUUCUUCAUCACUGCCAUGGCCUUUGUCCGUCAAGUAAUGGAAGACCUCCACCACCUCCAAGGAACAUUAGCAAGCAAGCCUGUGGCAAGACCGAAUGAUGUCCCGCAGGCCCCAGGAGCAUAAGAGACUUUAAUAUUCAUGAUUUUCUAAAUUAGUUGGUCCAUUAGAGAAUCUGUAUUUUCUUUUAUUUAAAGUUCUUAAUAGGUUGUCAAGUCAGUCAUUUUCAUUUUAAGCCAGAGUCUGUUGUUUUUAGUUAAGUUAGAGUCUGAUGUAAUCGAGUACUUUACUUUAUUGAAAUUGAAGAAGUUUUCUAAAUAUUUUCUGUAUUCAUUCGCCAGAACUACGCACGAUCUAAUCCAUGCAGGGUCAUGAUACGUAGGAAAUCACCAUAGGAUUCAAACCAUAACCAAAUAAAGAAAAGGAAAACAAAGGGGAAGAAAAAUGAGAUAAAUAGUGGUAAAAUAAAGGAGAGUAACAAAACGAAAGGUUUAGGCAAAACAAAUGUAGAGGGAAGAAGAAAAAGAAAAAAAAAGAGAAAAUAAAGGUGGCAUAGGAUAAGAGCCGGGAUGACGCAAGCAACCAUUUCGUGUGCAUAAUAGAAACGGAUAACUACUUAGGUGCAUUCAACCCCGAAGAUGUGGCUGCCUAUUUGUUGAAACCUGACCACUAACAAGUUUUGGUGUUGUCUUUCCCACUUCAGACAGGUGGUUUGUUUUUUUGAGGCAUUCUGGAAACCCACUCCUACAACACUCAGUCCAAGAGCAAGUCGAAUAUGGCCAGUCAAGAAACCGAUGCCAGUAUUAUUGAUCCCUCGAAAGAGGAAGAGAAAUUGGACGUUAAUGCAAUGAAAGAGGAAAUGUACAAACUAAAACAUCAGAUGGCUGAGAUGUAUCAGGCAUGCGUGAGAGGGCAACCACCACCAACUUAUCUUGCUAAUCCAACGUUCAUCCCACCGCUGGCCCAAUCACAUGACCAUCCCACCACUGAUCCACCCCCAAAUUUCCCCCUCUACCCACAAUACCAGUGUAUGACUUCUCAAGCACCCCCAACUCCACCACCCAAAGUGGUUCCUCACCCCCUCCACCAAUUGCUCCCAUUUAUGUGGCACCUCCUCCCCCUACACUCCAUAGAUCCUCCAGCGAGCCAUUACUUCAAGCUCACAACAAUCAGUAUGACCCACCAAAACCUGCUUACAAAGCCCAUGAACCUUACUCCUACUGCCCCCAUUUUGAAAUCCCGGUGGAGGCUAAAAACCAAUCAAAAACUCCGAGCAAGAGGAGGUGCUCAGGAAGGUCAGAAGCUUAGAACAAUCACUCAGGUAUAUGCGAGGGUUAGGUGGCCAGCUGAGUGAGGCAUUCAAACACCUUUGCUUAUUCCCAGAUGUGCAAUUACCCCCGGGCUUUAAUAUUCCCAAGUUUGACUUGUAUGACGGACAUGGUGACCCAAUCACACAUCUAAGGGGAUUCUGUAGCAAAAUGAGAGAAGCAGGAGGAAAGGAUGAACUGCUAAUGGAAUACUUCAGUCAAAGUUUAAGUGGGUUGGCAUUGGAAUGGUACAAACGGCAGGAUCAUGCUCGGUGGUACACUUGGGAUGAUCUAGCACAAGCAUUCACCUGUCAUUUUUAAUAUAAUCUUGAAAUUAUCGCGGGCCGUCUGUAUUUGACGAAAUUGUAAAAGAAGCACAAUGAGAGUUUCAGAGAAUAUGGCUUCCAUUGGAGGGAACAGGAAGCACGGACCAUCUGUCUUUAACGAAAUUGGAAAAGAAACUCAAUGAGAUCUUUAGAUAAUAUGGUUUCAAUUGGAGGGAACAGGCAGCGAGGGUCGACCCCCCAAUGAAGGAGAGCUAAAUGGUACACUAUUUCUUGCAAGCAUUGGAGCCUACAUAUUUUGGUCACCUGGUAUCAGCGAUAGGAAAAUACUUUAACGAGGUAGUGAAAAUGGGAAGUAUGGUCAAGGAAGGACUCAAAUCCAACAAGAUCAUGAGUUACUCUACACUCAAAGCAACCAUCCAAGCUAUCCAAAGCGGGACGGGGGGAACAUUUGGAAAGAAGAAGAAGGAAGAGGUAGCGACAGUUGAGUCAGGGACUUGGUUCAGUAAUCAAAGCAACCACCCAGACUAUCCAAAGCGGGAUCGGAGGAAAACUUGGAAAGAAGAAGAAGGAAUAAGUAGCGAUAGUGUAGUCAGGGACUUGGUUCAGGCCUUGGGCUUCAUCCCAUUAUAGCCAACCCCGUCCUAACCACCAAAUAUACCCACAUACACAAUAUGGCCCACCACAACAUUAAUACCCACGUUCGGAACCCCAUUUCUCAGUCCAUCAUGCUAAAACAUAUACCCAACCUCCCGCCCACACACAAUGGCGUGCGCCGGCUCCAAAAAAUAAUUACCCAGCUCCACCAAAUAACUACCCUCAAAGAGCCUACCAACAACCCCCGAGAUAGUUUUUUGGGCCAACCAAGCUUUGGAAAAAGAGAGAAUACAAAAGAAGAAAACUUUCAUUCCAUUGGGAGAAUCAAAUACCAGCUUAUUCCACAGGUUGAGGCAGCUAGACAUGUUGAGGCCGAUCGAAGCAAAAUUGCCAAAUCCUCCUCUGAGAAAUCUAUAUUAUUCUGUCAGUUGUGCGUAUUGUUUCGCUGCCCCUGGUCAUGACACAGAAAAAUGUUGGCAUCUGAAGUGUGCUAUUCAAGAACUCAUUGAUUCCCAUCGGAUUGAGGUGCAAGCUUUGAAAGCACCCAACAUUUAUCAAAACCUGCUUCCUUCCCAUCAAAAGACAAAUAUGAUCGAGAUAGUGCACAAAGAAGGGAAGCCCAAAAAGCCUCCACAAACUCUCACGAUGAUCUAAGCCAGUGACCUGGAAACACCCAAUCUAAUGCCUACUCAUCAAGAGACAAAUAUGACCGGGAUAGUGCACAAAGAGGGAGAGCCCAAAAAGCCUUCGCAGACUAUCAUGAUGAUCUGAGACAGUGAAUGGAAGAUGGUUGAGAAUUUUACCAACAAGAUGUCGACGCUCAAGUCAAGUGCACUAAGUAGUAAGCCUGUUGUUACAGUCAAGAAAGAAUCCCCGAAAGACGGGAUGGUAAAACAAGAGAAUGCAAAAGUGGUAGUAUCAGGGAUGGCUAGUAAGCCCGUGGUUGUCAUAAAAGGCGCUCGUUCACGGCCUGUUAUUAUGAAACCUGUAGUUCAUCUACCAGUAAUCAGCAGCACGGCACUGCCUUGGAAUUAUGAUCGAGUAACAGUGACUUACGAAGGGAAGGAGAUUAGAGAAGAAGUUUGUGAGACUCAUGGAUUUACCCGAUCAGGGAGUUGCUUUGCCCCCGAGGAAUUGAGAAAAUCAAAACCAACCAAGGAUAAUUCAGCGCUGGUGAAGAAACCUGUGAGUGAGGAAGAGGCAAAAGAGUUUCUAAAGAAGAUGAAAAUGUAGGAUUAGUGUAUUGUGGAACAACUGAGGAAGACGCCUGCUCAAAUCUCAUUGUUAUCAUUGUUAAUUCAUUCAGACAAGCACCGUCAGGCUUUAAUGAACAUCAUGACUGAGGACCAUGUUCCAGAUAAAAUCACAGCCAACCAUUUGGAGAAAAUAGUCAGUAAGAUUUUUGAGAUGAACAGAGUCACAUUUUCCGAUGAUGUACUACCAAUAGAAGGCACCGAGCAUAAUAGGGUACUCUACCUCACGGUAAAAUGCGAAGACUCUGUGGUGACUCGAGUUUUGGUCGAUAAUGGUUCAAGCGCGAAUAUUUGCCCUCUCUCCACCCUAAACAAGUUGAAGGUGGAAAAUGAAAGAAUUCACAAGAACAACAUCUUUGUAUAAAGAUUUGAUGGCAGAGGAAAAGAUUCGGUCGGUGACAUAGUACUCCAAUUGACAUUCGGGCCCGUUGAUUUACCAUGGAAUUCCAGGUGCUUGAUGUGGCUAUCUCUUACAACCUGUUGUUGGGACGACCUUGGAUCCAUGCUGCUAGAGCAGUCCCCUCUACUUUGCAUCAAAUGGUAAAAUUAGAAUGGGAUCGACAAGAAAUAGUGGUGCACGACGAAGACCAAUUGUAUACUCACAGUGACGCUAUUGUACCCUUCAUUAAAGUAGGUGAUGAUAAUGGGCCCUAGGUGUAUAAAGUUAUUGACUCGGUAUUAAGGAGAAAGUCCUAGAAGGGGAGCGUGUUCCAACACCAAGGUUGGCUACUGUAGCAGUCAUGGUGGCAGUUAAAAUGCUAAAGAAUGGGUUUGUUCCAGGAAGAGGUUUGGGGGCCUCACUUCAGGGUAUCAUACAACCAGUGUCUCUUCCCACGAACCUAGAAACAUUUGGUUUAGGGUUCAAGCCUACAAGUGCAGACAUAGCCAGAAAGAUGAGAAAGAAAGCAUAGGCCCUCCCUAAGCCCGUGCCUCGUCUCUUCAAAUCAUUUGUGAAACCUGGCGCCAAGAAGUUCUUGACCACAACAAGUGCCAAUGUUGUGGUUGACCCUGUCAAAGAGUUACUCGAGAGGAUUUGAAGAUGUGAACAUGGUGGUGGCCAGAGAAGGAUCAAGCAAGACAGAUGCGCAGUUUGUGGGACCCCGUGCAAAAGUCAACAACUAGGAAGCUACUCCUCUUCCCACUCAGAAUGAGUCGUGGUAGUCGGCUUUGAUUUUUCUAUUAGUGUAAUCUGAAUUAGCUCCAAGGUUGUAAUUCUGAUGUUAUGUUCCGUCCGUUUGGAUGUGUACACCCUGUUAUCUUUCCAAUUUCAAUGAAAUGCAAUUUCCCUUUUCUUUAGUGCUAAUAGCUUUNNNNNNNNNNNNNNNNNNNNNNNNNNNNNNNNNNNNNNNNNNNNNNNNNNNNNNNNNNNNNNNNNNNNNNNNNNNNNNNNNNNNNNNNNNNNNNNNNNNNNNNNNUUCCCUUUUCUUUAGCGCUAAUAGCUUUCAUUUUUCUUUGAUUCCUUCUUGUACAGUUAUUUUUAUGCAGCCUCAAAUGAUCUGACAUGCAUAAGGACUCUUCGGCCCAAUCUUAAAAAUCGGUCUAAUUCAGAAGUAAUAAUUCAAGAGAUAGAAUAUGAGGAUGAGUCGGAAUAUGAUGAGGAAAGGGAAUCUGGUGAAAUUAUUAAAGAAUUGAGCCAUUUUGAGGAAAAUCCCAAGCAAAACAUGAGCGUUACACAGGCAGUCAAUUUAGGGGACCCAGAUAACACUAGAGAAGCCAAAAUAAGUGUCCAUCUCGAGCCACAGGUUAUGGGAGAAAUAACUGAAGCGCUGCUUGAAUACAAAGAUGUUUUUGCAUGGUCCUACGAUGAUAUGCUAGGGUUGAGCACUGAUUUGGUGGUUCACAAAUUGCCCACCGACCCGGCCUGCCCUCCUGUCAAACAAAAGUUGAGGAAGUUUAAAACUGAUGUGAGCGUGAAAAUUAAAGAGGAAGUUACCAAGCAAUUUGAGGCCAAGGUUAUCCGAGUCACACGAUAUCCCACAUGGUUAGCUAAUUUCAUGCCUGUGCCGAAGAAGGAUAGUAAAACCAGGAUAUGUGUCAAUUAUCGUGACCUCAACAAAGCAAGUACGAUAUCCCACAUGGUUAGCCAAUAUCGUGCAUGUGCCAAAGAAAGAUGGUAAAACCAGGGUAUGCGUCGAUUAUAGUGACCUCAACAAAGCAAGUCCAAAAGACAACUUCCCAUUUCCAAACAUCCACAUAUUGAUUGACAAUUGUAGAAAGUAUGAGAUUGGGUCCUUCGUAGAUUUUUACGUAAGCUACCACUAGAUUUUGAUGGAUGAGGAGGAUGCAUAGAAGAAAACAUUCAUCACGCCAGGGGGAAUGUAUUGCUAUGAGGGAUAUGACACUAUAUUCCUCAUAUGAGGGAUAUGACACUAUAUUCCACGAUAUGAUUCAUAAGGAGAUUGAUGUCUAUAUGGAUGAUGUAAUUGUGAAAUCUAGGAAUCAAUCUGACCAUGUCAGAGAUCUGAGGAAAUUCUUCCAAAGGCUCCUCGGAGGCGGCAACUCAUUCGGAUACGUGCUGGGUCAACACGAUAACACUGGGAGGAAAGAACAGGCUACGUACUACCUCAACAAGAAGUUCUAUGAGGUGAAGUAUACUCAUCUUGAAAUGACGUGUUGUGCCCUAACUUGGGAAGCACAAAAGUUGAAACAUUACUUGUCAUCAUAUACCACUUACCUCAUCUCAUGCCUAGACCCAUUGAAAUACAUCUUCGAGAAGCCUAUGCCCACGGGAAGGCUUGAAAAAUGGCAAAUUUUGCUCACCGAGUUCGACAUUGUCUACGUGACCACGACUGCAAUGAAACCACAUGCACUGGCUGAUCAUUUGACCGAGAAUCCAGUAGACAAAGAAUAUGAACCUUUAAAGACAUACUUCCCAGACGAGGAGGUAAUGCAUAUUGAGGACAUGGAACAGGGCGAGAAGACGGGAUGGAAAUUAUUCGGCAGCCAACAUGAAAUGCGUCGGGAUAGGAACGGUACUCAAUUCUAAAACGCAGCACCCUUACCCCAUAAAUGCUCAGCUCCGCUUCUAUUGCACCAACAACAUGGCAGAAUAUGAGGCAUAUAUUUUAGGUUUGAGGUUAGCUGCAGACAUGGGUUUUCAGGAAGUUUUGGUCUUGGGAGACUCGGACCUUCUAGUGCACCAGAUUCAAGAUGAGCGGGAAGCAAGAUAUUUGAAGCUCAUACCGUACCGGCAAUGCUUGCACGAUCUUUAUCAACGAUUUCAGUCAGUAGAGUUCAGGCAUAUCCCAAGAAUUCACAAUGAGGUCGUUGAUGCUUUGGCCACCUUGACGUCGAUGUUACAUCAUCCAGAUAAAGCUUAUGUUGAUCCAUUGCAUAUCCAAGUCCAUGACCAACAUGCUUACUAUAAUAUGGUGGAGGAAGAGCUUGACGGUGAGGCUUGUUUUCACACCAUCAAAGAAUAAAUCAGGAUGGGUGUGUACCCAGUACAAGCCACAAGUGACCAGAAGAAAACAAUCAGUCAUCUAUCAAAUGGGUUUUUCCUCAGUGAGGGGUUCUAUACAAAAGAACACCAGAUCUUGGGUUGUUAAGGUGCAUAGAUGUUGGGCAGGCCACAACCAUCAUGAAUGAGGUAUAUUCUGGAGUCUGCGGACUGCACAUGAGCGGAUAUGUUUUGGCAAAGAAGAAUCUUCGGGAACGGUAUUAUUGUCUCAUAAUAGAGCGACAUUGCAUCAGUUUCAUGUGAAAAUGUCGUCAAUGUCAGGUACAUGGAGACAUGAUUCACUUACCACCAUUUGAAUUGCAUACAAUGUCUAUACCAUGGCCUUUCGUUUCCUGGCGCAUGGACGUCAUCGGGCCCAUUGAGCCAAUAGCCUCCAAUAGAUACAGGUUCAUCCUGGUUGUUAUUGAUUAUUUUACCAAGUGGGUCGAAGCUAAAUCUUUCAAGGCGGUGACCAAGAAAGCUGCGGUCGACUUUGUGCAUUCAAAUAUCAUUUGCCGGUUUGGAAUCCCAAAGACACUCAUCACUGAUAAUAGAGCGAAUCUCAAUAGUCACUUGAUGAAAGAAGUAUUUCAGUAGUUUAAGAUUACACAUUGCUAUUCCACCCUAUACCGUCCCAAGGCGAAUGGAGUAGUUGAGGUAGCCAAUAAGAAUAUAAAGAAGAUACUUCAAAAAAUGAUGGAAGGGUCCAGGCAGUGGCAUGAGAAGUUACCUUUCGCACUGUUAGGAUAUCACACUACUGUCCACACCUCAGUGGAGGCAACUCCAUACUUGUUGGUAUAUGGCAUAGAAGCAGUAAUUCCGGCUGAAAUUGAAAUCUCGUCCCUUCGGAUUGUCGCCGAGGUAGAAAUUGAUGAUGAGGACUGGGUCAAAGCCCGCCUGGAGUAGUUGAGUUCGAUUGAUGAAAAAAUAUUGGCAGCGUUAUUUCACGGCCAGCUGUAUCAAUAGAGGAUGGCCAUAGUAUAUAACAAGAAGGUGCGUCCAAGAAGGUUUGAAGUGGGUCAGUUCGUAUUGAAAUGAAUCCUCCCCCAUCGUAUCAAGAGUAUUGUCCAACAGGGCGUUGUAUCUAACAAAGGUGGAAGGAAAGUGUGUAGAAAUCGCCAUCAAUUCAGAGGCAGUUAAGAGAUACUAUGUAUGAUUUUCUUUGUUCAAAUCAUUGUCUUUACUUGGCAUGUUUGUUUGUACUUGGCAUGUUUUAGAGAUUGAAAUGACGAAGGCAUUUUAUUCAUCUAUCUAACACUUUACCCUUUGCUAACAAUUUUUGUGCUUUAAUUAUUUUCUUUCAUACCCCUCUUUAGGAAUCAGUAACAAUAGUCGUAAAUGCAAGUGUAAAAGUCAGUAAAAGAAAAGACUAGGAAAGAAUGAAAAGAAAGAAGAAGAAAAAAAGAGAAAGGAGAAGAGAGGAAGAAGAAGAAAAGACAAAAUAAAAAAAAGGAAAAAAAGAAAGAAGGAAAACAAAAAGAGAAGAAAAAGAGAAAAAGAAAAGAGAGAGAAGGGAAAAACCCACAAAACAGCAAAACCAGAAAAGAAAAAUGAAGAAAUAGAAUACUGAAAGGAAGAAAUGAGAAGGCCACAAAACAAGGAAUCGGAAUGAACUACGUUUGACCUGAUUCCUUUUAAGGAUAUGUAGACAGCCUCACGGCUCGGUCAUAUUCAAAUAAAAAUUCAAAGGUCCCCAACCAAGAAACUGGGGCACAUGUCGGUCAAGACAUAGCAAAGGCAGCAAAACUUGAAAUGGCUAGGGAAAGGAUCAAUGAAGGUUUCAUUAGCAAAACGACUUGGUAAGUUCAUGAAGGAUGUAAGGAUUCUGGCAAUAAGUUCAGGAGCGUAACACGAAAAUGUGAGAACAGAGUAAAGAUAUAGGGUUCAGGGAUCAGCCGAGAAAAUCAGGCGGGUCAUUAUCAGUACGGAAAAUACAACAGAACUUGACAGUGGGGAGGCCAUUUUUAGAAUGUCGUAAGCACCACCACUUUCCCAAACUAACAAGAUUUUCUUUAAUUGAAAUAGGGGGAGAAAAUUUCGGAAGAUCCCGGGGAAAUCCUCCAUAGGGGAGGGAAAGCACAGGGCAGGUAUGGUCGAGAAUCUCAGGACCCUCCUGGAAAAUCGGACUCAGUUAAAAUUCAACAUGGAACAUAGCCUGGCACAAACAUCUUCCCCAAUAAGAGUCAUCAGGACCCGCCUGAAUAAUGGGACAAAACUUUAACUAGCAAUCCCCAGCAAAAACAACCGAAAGUUAGAAUUGGCAUUUAAUUUGGAAUUCUCAGGACCCUCCUGGAAAAUGGGACUUGCCUAAAGGAUAGAGAUAAUUAUGAAUAGAAAAGAACAUAAGUGACAUGCAUGUUUAAACAGGAUUCGGUCAAGAGUUGUCAGGACCCUCCUGGAAAAUGGGACUUAGUGUAAAACUCAAACAGUCAGGGAAACAUGGUCAAGUAUAAAUAUUUCCCCAACAAGAGUCAUCAGGACUCGCCUGGAUAAUGGGAUUUAAUUGUGAGAGUUGUCAGGACCAUCCUGGAUAAUGGGGUGUAGCUCUGAAUACUAAUCCCCAGCAGACACAUUUUGUCAUCUCAUUAAGAGUUGUCAAGACCCACCUGGAUAAUGGGAAGUAGCUUUAAUUACCGGUCCCCAGUAAAUCCCCAGCAGAUAUAACUCGGAUAACAAGACAUAGUGGAAAAUAAUACCUUUUGAGAACACAGCCUAAUUUUAAAGGUGUCAUUAGUUAAGAGUUGUUAGGACCCUCCAGGAUAAUGAGACUUAGCUUUCAAAUUUAGAGCAAAACUCACAUAUGCGCCCAGCACAAAACUAGGGCAAAAAUAAUUUCUUUUGUUUUGUUUGUUUUGUUGUGAUCAGGUAGCAGCAGUCUUAGGGAAUACUUUCCAAGUUUCAAGUUUUGGUAAUCAGGCGCCUACCUCGAGAACAAGGGAAUACUUUUCAAGUUUAAAGUUUUGGUAGUCAUGCGCCCACCUGGUGAAUAAGAGAAUACAUUCAAGAUUCAAGUUGUGGUAAUCAGGCGCCCACCUAGAGAACAAGGGAACAUUUUUCAAGUUUCAAGUUUUUCUAAUCAGGCGCUCACCUGGAGAACAAGGGAAUACUUUUCAAGUUUCAAGUUUUGGUAAUUAGGAACCCACCUGGAGAAUAAGGGAAUACUUUUCAAGUUUCAAGUUUUGGUAAUCAGGCGCCCACCUNNNNNGGAGAACAAGGGAAUACUUUUCAAGAUUCAAGUUUUUGUAAUCAGGCGCCCACCUGGGGAACAAGGGAAUACUUUUCAAGUUUCAAGUUGUGGUAAUCAGGCGCCCACCUAGAGAACAAGGGAGUAGUUUUUAAGCUUCAAGUUUUGGUAAUCAGGCGCCCACCUGGAGAAUAAGGGAAUACUUUUCAAGUUUCAAGUUGUGGUAAUCAGGCGCCCACCUGGAGAACAAAGGAAUAUUUUUCAGGUUUCAAGUUUUGGUAAUCAAGCGUCCACCAGGAGAACAAGGGAAUACUUUACAAGUUUCAAGUUUUUUGUAAUUAGCAGCCCACCUGGAGAACAGGGAAUAAUUUUCAAGUUUCAAGUUUUGGUAAUCAGGCGCCCACCUGGAGAACAAGGGAAUACUNNNNNNNNNNNNNNNNNNNNNNNNNNNNNNNNNNNNNNNNNNNNNNNNNNNNNNNNNNNNNNNNNNNNNNNNNNNNNNNNNNNNNNNNNNNNNNNNNNNNNNNNNNNNNNNNNNNNNNNNNNNNNNNNNNNNNNNNNNNNNNNNNNNNNNNNNNNNNNNNNNNNNNNNNNNNNNNNNNNNNNNNNNNNNNNNNNNNNAAACAAGGGAAUACAUUUCAAGUUUCAAAUUUUGGUAAUCAGGCGCCCACCUAGAGAACAAGGGAAUACUUUUCAAAUUUCAUGUUUUAGUAAUCAGGGCCGACCUGGAGAAUAAGGGAAUAUUUUUCAGAUUUCAAGUUUUGGUAAUCAGGCGCCCACCUGGAGAACAAGGGAAUACUUUUCAAGUUUCAAGUUUGGAUAAUCAGGCAUCCACCUGAAGAACAAGGGAAUAUUUUUCAAGUUUCAAGUUUUGGUAAUCAGGCGCCCACCUGGAGAACAAGGGAAUAUGUUUCAAGUUUUUAAGUUUUGGUAAUGAGGCGCCCACCUGGAGAACAAGGGAAUACGUUUCAAGUUGGAAGCUUUGGUAAUCAGGCGCCCACCUGGAGAACAAGGGAAUAUUUUUCAAGUUUCAAGUUUUGGUAAUCAGGUGCUCACCUGGAGAACAAGGGAAUACGUUUCAAAUGAUUCAAGUUUUGGUAAUCAGGAACCCACCUGGAAGAAAAAGGGAAUACAAUUCAAAUCCAACAACAAAGCAUCAACAUGGAGAAAGAGAAACAUAUCAAUAGGGCAAUAAGAAGUUUCACAUAAGGAAGUACAGCAAGGCAAUAAGAAAUUUCUCAGGGAGAUACACAAAGCAACAUGGCAACAAAGAUCAAGUGAAAGUUUGAAGACAUAGAUAGGUUCUUUUCUAAUACAUAAUUCAUAGCUUAGUCUAGCUUCUUUUAUUUUCUUUUACAUGGUGUAAUAAGGAGGUCUAGCAACCAGCAACAACAGUGAAAACACAGCUUCGAUAGUCCUAGCAACCAAACACUCCUAAACUACACUGACUUAAUUCCUCUUUAGCGAGGAUAUGUAGGCAAUCUCUAAAGCAGGGUGCGGUCAAUAUUUUCAAAAUACUUCUCACGGAGUACUCAAACAGGAAAAAAUCGCUCGUGUUUGCUCACUUGUCUUUGCACGAAAGCUCUUCGUGUUUCCGGGCAAAGAGGGGCAGCUGUGAGCAUGUGAUUUUUUCCCUGUACGAGUUACUCUAAUAAAGUCAAACAAAAUCAUGUAAGUUAUUUUUUUUGCAAUUUUAUGAACUUUCGGGACAUUUCUGCUAAUUGUUUGCAUUUUGCGUGCAUUUUAAUUAAACACACAUUCAUCAAAAAUACAAAAAUAUUUUGCAUGUGCAUCUAGGAGUUGAUUUCACUUAUUAGAAUUAUUCAGUAAUUUAGUCAUUUUAUAAAAAAACAAAAAAUAAAAAAUAUAGCUUAAUUUGCACUUUUAAGUUUAAGUUUGAUUUUUAAGUAAUUUUUCUCUUAGCCUUGUUUUAAUUAUUUGUGAUAAUAAUUACUGUAGUAUUAAUUAGGAUUUUUAUAGAUCAAUUAGGGAUUUAUAAAUCAAUUUAGGUUUUUAAUGAUUUUGGAAAAUAAAAAGAAAAAUGAAAAAAGAGGAGAAUAAAUUUGAAAAUUCAACUAAACAAAAAGAAUACCCAAUUGGGCCAUUUCACAUUAAAAUUUCAGCCCAAUAAACCCUAUACCCGGUGGUCCCCCCCCCCCAAUACAAAACGACCUCGUUUUGGGGUCGUUCAAUCUCGGCCAUCUAGGUUUUAGAUCCUACGGUAUUAAAGCCCGCUACACUUAGGAUAUAGAUGUCCAAACAACCCCCUACCCCCCAAAACACCCCGUCCCUCACCCGUCUCACAGAAACCCUAACACCGCCACCCUCCACCACAAACCGCCUUUUUGUUGAUAUGAAUUUCGCCUUCUUGCCUAUUUACUUUCUUAGGUUCUAGGUUUGAAAUUAAUGAUUGUAGCACAUUCCAUUUAUCUUAAUUAGUCUGUUAUUUUCUUAUCAUGUUUGACUAAUAGUUUAUAGUAUUAGCUUCCAACUUUAAAGUAAUUAGAAAGUAAUCCAAGUCUGAAGGCAGGAUCAUUAUAAUUUUGGGCUGAAGGUUUAUGCCUUUCAAUCCAGGAUCUGGGCUGGUUGUUCAGUAGGCUCGACCCAGGGCCAAUUUGAUCCACCUCUUACUUGAGUGCAAUGUAAUUGCAAGGAUACUGGGAGGUUAGUCUAGGUAUUUGGGGUUAGAGAAUCAUUCAUAACGGAUUUGGAAACUUCUAGCAGGGGUUCUCAGUCAAUUCUAAGCUCUAAAACUUAGUCUACAAGUCAAAAAAUGAAGGAAUAAAAUGAAAACUAUAAAAUCUGAUUUCCCUAUUGGCUUGCCUAUAAAAGACCCCCUUUCUUGCCUUAGAAGACAGACUUUUGAAGACUGGAAAGGUUUUAAAAAAUUCUGAAAAUUCUAGGCAGCUUAAAUUUGAGAAAUACUGUUCCAUUAGGAUUUCCACUUUGAAUUUUCAAGCUCAUCAUCUCUGAAAGAUAAUUGGUUGUGUAUGAGUGUUUGAAAUGGCUUGAAUUUGAUUCCUGUUGAAAAUCUAGGUAGAUUCUGUGGAAAACUACUUUCAUUGAUUAUUUUAGUGUGGAUCUCCUGGAUCUUAAUUGCUGAAAUUGCUGAUGCUGGGUUACUCCUGUUGGGUUUCUUCUUAAACUCAUAGCUUCUUUAUUUAUCUAUUGUAUCAGUUACAUGCUCUUCAACUUCAAUGGCUUAUGUAAUGGAUCCGCAAAAUGAAAUAAAAGUUGUCCUAAAGCAUAAUUCCAGUUUAGUCUGAUUUAUGUAGCACUGUUCAAUUUUGUCUUUUAGAUGUGAUGCAUGUAUUGGUUAAUUAAGUUUAGCUUGAGUAGUGUAAGCUCCUUAGGACUAUGAUAGAUUGGGGAAUUUGUUUGAUUGGACUGUGUAGUUUAAAUUCUGCAUCUUAAACUUGGGUAUAGAUUGUAUGGGAUACUUUAUUACGCUAUUUCAUUCAGAUUAUUGUGAGUAGUGAUGGUUGUGGAUGUUCAUAAAGUUAGGAUAGUGAAAUGUUUCUCUUAAAAGUGUAGUGUAUAUAGAAUUUUGUAAGUAGAAGAAAAGUUGUUUAAAAGGGUAAGAGCAUAUGGCCAUGUUGAAUACGAAUGGAUCUCAGGGCACUUGUUUGGUCUAUUUGUGAUUUAUUAAAUUUUUUUUAAUUUGUUUUUUUUUUUAAAAAAUGCAAAGGUGAAAUGCCAAACUAGUAGCAUGUCUUCUUGACUGUAUCUUAUUAUGAGCUUUGGGCUCAAUGUUGGCCCAAAUGUUAGAAUCUCACUUUAGACGCUUGUGCAGUAUUUUGGCUGCAUUUGACCCUAUCAAAAUUGGGCUCCUUUCGAGCCCAGAUUUGAACAUAUGUGACAAUGGUUUGUUGUUGCCCUUUUGAAUUUUCACUGCCUGUUCAUUUCCUUUUGCAUAAUCUUACGUGAUUAAUCGGGAUCCUCGUAGCCCAUUCCUCUAAUUAUUUAGGUUAAUUAAUUAAUCGAAAUGCACCAUAUUAAAAAGAAUAAUAUAUGGCCCUUUUGUUUUAAACUUAGAAACCUUUUGGUUAGAAUAAUUUUUGGCGUGCCACACAUAAAUUGUGCAAAUCUCUAUGAUUACUCCUUUAAAUAUUUAGAAUUUGAGGCGUGAUGUUUAGCUAAUUUUCAUGGCCCUCGUAAAAUUAAAAACAUGUUAGUUGCUUUAGGCGUGUUAUUUAAUAAUUUCACCUUCUUAAACUCCGGUGCGCAUUUAUGUUACCCAAAUCCAAAUCUCGACGGUGUUGAAAUAUGUCAAACACUACAGGUGCAUUUAUACAACGUGAUUCGAGACAUGUUUUAAUAACGUCACAAUUUUCUCUAAAAAUGAAUAAAAGCGGUUAAAGCUAAAAUUUGCACCUAAGUACAAUAAUGCAUUAAAAUCAGAUAGUUAAGCCAAAUAUAACAUUUGAGAGACCGUGCUAGAACCACGGAACUUGGAAGUGCCUAACACCUUCUCGAGGGUUAACAAAAUUCCUUACCCGAAUUUCUGGUUCACAGACUAUUAAACAGAGUCAAACCUUCCUUGAUUGGGGAUUUAAACCGGUGACUUGGAAAACCAUAAAUUAUCCCAAGUAGUGACUAUGAAAUCUCUAAAUAAAUAAAUCACGUUUCGAUUGUCCUUAAAUUGGAAAAACUCCCUUUCUACGCCCUUUGUUGGGUUGAAAAUGUUAAAAAUGAGGUAUGACACGAGGCACUGACUAUUGUUCCUUAGGUCCUUCUUAAUGGGAUGGCAAAAUUUUAGGCUAUCCGGGUCCGGAAGCACGGGUCUAUCCACUGGCAUAUGCUAUAGCACAUGAAAAUCUAGGAAUCGGGCAAAAUUCUAGUUUUAUGGCACUAAAACGCCAAAAAAGAGUAAUGGUCAUGGUGAGGAGGUGACUAUUAUUCCUUAGGUCGUAUUUAAUGGGCCAGCAAAAUUUUAGACAGACCGGGUCCUGUGGCCCGGACCCAUGCCACUGGCGUAGGCUGUAACAUACUGAAAAAUUUGGGAAAUGCGAUGAAUUCCAAUUUUAUGGCCCUAAAAUGCCACAAAAUGAGUAUGGAUAUUUGCAAAGCAGUGACUAUUGUUUCUUAUGUCAUUUUUGUUGGGUCGAGAAAACUUUAGGCGAUCUGGGUCCAAUUGCCUGGGCCCAUGCAAUUAGCGUGGGCUAUAGCACAUGAAAAUCUGGGGAUCGGGUGAAAUUCUAGUCUUAUGACCCUAAAACGCAAAAAAUAUUUAGGGUCAUGGAAAGGCGGUGACUAUUAUUCCUUGUGUUAUUUUUUAUAGGUCGAGAAAAUUUUAGGCGAUCCGAUUCCGAUUGCCGAGGCCCAUACCACCAGUGUGGCUAUAGCACACGAAAAUUUGGGAAUUGGGCGAAAUUUCAUUUUUAUGAUACUAAAAUGCUAUUUCUAAGGCUUUUUUGGGAUGGUAUUAUUCUAGGCGAUCCAGGUCGAAUAUCCCGGGCCCGUGCCAUUGGCAUGGGCUAGCAUACGAAAAUCAGGAAUCGGGCCAACUUCCAGUUGUAUGGCCCUAAAAUGCAAAACAAUGAGCAACAAUAAUAUAGAUGUGGUGACUAUUGUUCCUUAGGUCAGUUUUUAUUGGGUUGAUAAAAUUUCAGGUGAUCCGUUCUGAUGGCGCGGGGCAUCCCACUGGCGUGGGGUGCAUCACACAAAAAUCUGAGAAUAGAGCGAAAUUUCAGUUUUAUGGCUCUAAUAUGACAAAACAAAGUAAUGAUCAUGGAGAAGCGGUGACUAUUGUUCCUUAGUUUAUUCUUGAUGGGCCAGCAAAGUUUCAGGCUUUUAGGUAUGCUUGCCCGAGCACACGCCACCUGCGUGGGCUAUAGCACAGAAAAAUCUUGAAAUCAAGCAAAAUUCCAGUUUUGUGAUCUUAAAACAUCAAGAAACAAGAAACAGUCAUUGCGAGUUGGUGACUAUUGUUUCUUGGGUCAUUUAUGAUGGAGAGAUGAAAUCUUUUGUGAUGUAUGUCCAAUGGCCCAGGCCCAUCGAAUCGGCAUAGGCUAUAGAACACGAAAUUUUAGGAACAUGGUGAAAUUCUAGUUUUACCAUACUAAAAUGCCAAACAAUGAGUGACGGUCAUGGCGAGGCAGUGACUAUUAUUCCUCAAGCCAUUUUCUAUGGGCCAGAAAAAUCUUAGGCUAUCAUGUUAUGCUGGCUCGGGCCCAUGCCACAGACAUGGUAGCACAUGAAAAUUUGGGAAUCGAGCGAAAUUCCUAUUUUAUGGCCUUAGAUCGCCAAGAAAUAAGUAACAGUUAUGGGGAUACAGUGACAAUUGUUUCUUAGGUAGAUUUUGAUGGGCUGGAAAAAUAUUAGGUCAUUUGGGUCCGGUAGCCAGAGCCUAUGCCACCAGUGUGGGCUAUAGCAUAGGAAAAUCAGGAAUCAAGAAAAAUUCUAGUUUUAUGGCACAAAAAGCCAAAAAUGUGUAUCGGUCAUGGCUAGGUGGCGACUAUUGUUCCAUGGGUCAUUUUUGAGUGGCCGAAAAAGUUUUAGACGAUCUAGGUCCGAUGGCAAUGGCCCAUGCCAUUGGCAUGGGCUAUUGCAUACGCAAUAUUUGGGAAUCUGGCAGAAUUUUCAAUUUUAUAGCCCUAAAACGCCAAAAUAAUUAAUGCCCAUGGUCAGGUACUGACUAUUAUUUCUUAGGUCGAUUUUGAUGGGCUGGAAAAUAUUUGUAGAUCUGGGUCUAGUGGUCCAAGCACAUGCCACCGCCGUAGGCUAUAGCACAAAAAAUCUAUAAAUCAGGCAAAAUUCCAGAGGUUGUGACAAUUGUUCCUUAGGUCAUUUUAAAACGGCAUAUAAUGUUUUGGAAAAUCCGGGUCCGGUUGGUAGGCCCAUGCCACCGGCGUGGGCUAUAGCACACAAAAUUCUGAAAAGUGGGGAGAAUUCCAAUUUCAUGGCUAUAAAAUGCCAAAAAAUAAGUAACGUUUAUGGCGAGGCAGUGACUGUUAUUCCGUAAGUUGUUUUUAUAGGACGUUUAAAGUGUUAGAUAAUUCAGGUGUGGAAGUCCAGGCCCAUGCCACCUGCGCGGGCUAUAGCACUAGGAUCUGGGAAUCAAGUGAAAUUCUAGUUUAUGGUCCUAAGAGGCCAAAAAAUGAAUAACGGUCAUCGCAAGAUUGUGAGUACUAUUCCUUAGGUAAUUUUUGUUGAGUCGAUAAAGUUCUAAUCCAGAUCUGGUGAUAUGGCCCCAUGACUUGCGUAGUCUUAUACCAUAUGAAUAUUUGGAAAUCAGACAUAAUUACAGUUUUAUGGUCCUAAAAUGCCAAAAUAUGAGCAACAGUCAUGGUGAGGCGAUGAAUAAUAAUUCCUUAGGUCACUUUUUAUGGGCGGGCAAAAUUUUUGGCAAUCUAGGUCCGGUGGAUCGAGCCUCUGCCAAUCGGGCAGACUUUCAGUUUUAUAGGCGUAAAAUACCAAAACAAUGAGUGACGGUCAUAGCGAGGUGGUGAGUACUGUUUCGGUGGGCUUUUUUGAUGGGCCAAUAAAAUUUUUGGUGAUUCCGGUCUAAUAGACGAGCCCAUGGCACAAGAAAAUUUGGAAAUAGAGCGGAAUUCCAUUUUUAUGGAUCCAAAACGCCAAAGAAUGAGUUUCAUACAUCAUUUUUGAUAUGCUGACAUAGUUUUCGACUAUCUGGGUUUGGUGGCCCAAGCUUAUACCACGAGUGUGGGCUAUAGCACAUGAAAAUAUGGGAAUCUAGCUGAAUUUCAGCUUUAUAGCUCUAAAACACCAAGAAACGAGUAUCAGCCAUGGUGAGGCAGUGACGAUUGUUCCUUAGUUCGUUUUUGAUGGUCUAGUAAAAUUUUAUGCAAUUUGGAUGCGGUGGGCCGAGCCCAUCCACCGACGUGGGCUAUAGCUCAAGAAAAUUUGAGAAUCGGGUGGAUAUCCCAAUUUUAUGGUCCAAAAAUGCCAAAAAGAGUAAUGGUCAUGGUGAAGCGGUGACUAUUAUUCCUUAGGUCAUUUGGACUGGGUUGGAAAAUUUUUUGUGAUGCGUGUCUGGUGGCUUGGGCCUAUGAAACUGGCUAGCACAUAAAAAUCUUGGAAUCAUGCAAAAUUCCAAUUUUAUUUCCCUAAAACGCUAAGAAAUGAGUAACGGUCAUGACGAGGCGGUGACACUUAAUACUUUGGUCAUUUUUUGCAUCGACAUAAUUUUAUGAGAUCCGUAUCCGAUCGAACUGGCCCAUGCCACCGGCGUGGGCUAUAGCACAUGGAAAUCUGAAAAUUGGACGGAAUUCAAGUUAUAUGGCUCUAAAAGCCAAAAAAUGAGUAAAGGUCAUGGUUAAGCAAUGGAAAUUGUUCCUUAGGUUGUUUUUUGUAGGCCGACAAAAUUUUAUGCGAUCCGGAUUCGUUGACCCGGGCCCAUGCCAUCGUCAUGAGCUAUUGCACAUGAAUGUUUAGAAAUCGGGUGCAAUUCCAGUUUUGUGGCUCUAAAACGCCAAGAAAUGAGUAAAGGUCAUGACUAGGCGGUGGCUAUUGUUCCUUGAGUCAUUUUUAUGAACCUACAAAAUUUUAUGAUACUCGUGUCUAGGGGCCCGGGCCCACACCACGGGCGGCUGGGGGCACUAUAACAUACGAAAAUCUAGAAAUGGAAAAAAUUCCAGCUAUAUAGCCCUAAAAACCCAAAAAAUGAGUAAUGGUCAUGGAGAGGCGGUAACUAUUAUUCCUUAGGUAUUUUUUAAUGGCCAGCAAAAUUUAUGUGAUCUAGGUCCGGUGGCUCAUGCCCAUGUCACCAGCGCGGGCUAUAACACAUGCAAAUUUGAGAAUCGGGCAUAAUUAUAUUUUUACAGCUUUAAAAUAUCAAAAAAUGAGUAAAGGUCAUGGAAAAGCGAUAACUCUUGUUCCAUAAGUGGAUUUUGAUGGGCCAAUAAAAUUUUAGAUGAUUAGGGUUCGGUCGCUCGGGCCCAUGCUGGUGGCGUGGGCUAUAGCACACGAAAAUAUGAUAAUAUGGCAAAAAUCUAAUUUGAUGGCCCUAAAACGCCAAAAAAUGAGUAACGAUCAUGGAGAGAUGAUGAUUAAUAUUUCUUAAGUCAAUAUUUAUGGGUCGACAAAAUUUUAGGCGAUCAAGGUCCAAUGGUUCAGGACCAUGCCACCAGCAUGGGCAUCGGGUGGAAUUUCAGUUUUACGAUCCUAAAACUCCAAAAAAAACAAGUAACAGUCAUGGCGAGGUAGUGACUGUGGUUCCUUAGGACGUUUUUGAUGGACCGGGAAAAUUUUUUAGGCGAUUCGGCUCAGGUGGCCUGAACUCAUGCCACCGGCGUGUGCUAUAGCACAGGAAAAUCUGAGAACCGGGGUAGAAUUUCAAUUUUAUGGUCCAAAAAGUCCAAAAAAUGAGGAACGCUCAUGGAGAAGCGAUGACUUUUUUUCCAUAUGUAGUAUUUGAUGGGCCGGAAAAAUUUUAGGUGAUUAGUGUUCGGUCUCUUGGACCCAUGCCGAUGGCGUGGGCUAUAGCACAUGAAAAUUUGAGAAUCGGGUGAUAAUAUAGUUUUAUAGCCUUAAAACGCCAAAAAAUAAGAAACGGUUAUUGCAAGGCGAUGACUACUAUUUCUUAAAUGGUUUUUGAUUGUUCGGAAAAAUUUUAGGCAAGUGGGGUCCGGUCUCCCUGACCCAUGCCGAUUGCGUGGGCUAUAGCAUACGAAAAUUAGGAAUCAGGCGAAAUUCUAGUUUUAUGGCCCUAAGAUGCAAAGGAAUUAGGAAUGAUCAUAGUGAGACAAGGACUAUUGUUCCUUAGGUAGUUUUUGAUGGGUCGGAAAAAUUUUCGACGAUUCGGGUUUGGUCGCCCCCAUGCCAAUGGCAUGGGCUUUAACAUAAAAAACUAUAAAUUACGCAAACAACAAAAUAUAAGUCAUGGUCAUGGCGACGAGAUGCCUAUUGUUCCUCAGGUAUUUUCGAUGAGACGACAAAAGUUUAUUUUCUCCCUUAUUCAUAUAAUUCCGUAUUUCAAAAAACAUAUUUGAAUUUUAAGUAAAAUAACUGGCCCUAGUGCUAUUUUUACCCAAGGCUUUGCUACGUCAGGCAUUUUAAAUGAAAUAUACCAAUCUGUAAUAUUAGUACCUGCUGUUCAAUCCGAGUGGUUAAUAAUGCACAUAAGUAUGAUGAUAUUGGGCUAUGCAUCUCUUUUAUGUGGAUCCUUUAGAGACUACGAGUGUAAUAAGAGCAUCCGUCGACAAAAGGAUCACCCUACGAUGAUCAUCUUGUGGCUAUUGAGAACGAAUUAAAUCAGAUGGUUCUAUUUCUCAAUCUUUCUGACUUGCUCCUACGAAACCAAGAUCGAAAAGAUUGAAANNNNNNNNNNNNNNNNNNNNNNNNNNNNNNNNNNNNNNNNNNNNNNNNNNNNNNNNNNNNNNNNNNNNNNNNNNNNNNNNNNNNNNNNNNNNNNNNNNNNNNNNNNNNNNNNNNNNNNNNNNNNNNNNNNNNNNNNNNNNNNNNNNNNNNNNNNNNNNNNNNNNNNNNNNNNNNNNNNNNNNNNNNNNNNNNNNNNNNNNNNNNNNNNNNNNNNNNNNNNNNNNNNNNNNNNNNNNNNNNNNNNNNNNNNNNNNNNNNNAAAGCCUAUUUGGUUUUAGUAGUUACUUUUCUAGAUUUUUUUUUUUCUUUUUCUUUCUUUCUGUAGUGGAGAUAGUCGCACGUAAUGACAGAUCACGGCCAUAUUAUUGAUUUAUUUAUUUCCUUUUUACAUACGGAGGAAGACAACUUAUA